rnacentral:lncRNA from 1 species
GAAUAAAGAACAUAUGUUAAACUAAGGUAAGAAUUUUCAUAUACAUAAAUAAUAGUUAAUUAAUUAAAUCAUUUUAAAUCAUUUAGAUGUUUUUCUGUCAUACAAAACGUAUAAACGUCUAUAAUUAGUUAAUUAAUUGAGCAAAUCCCCAUAUUAAUUUGGCUUGGCUCGGAACCACCUCCACUCUCAUCCGGAUGGGCCCGACCCGUAUUUUUUCGGUGUCGUUAGUCGUUACCCUGUCAAAAAAGCAAGAAUUUAAGACGUGUGAAAAAUACUACACUUUUCAAGUCAUAUAUACAUACAUGUAAGGUUUAGAGGAAGAUCUAUGAGUACCUCACCCUUAUCUAAUAGAUCAACUUCGCCAAAAUGAAUCCUGUUUCCAUUGAGACUGAGGAAGCUCCGUUAUUGGACAGCAAUGGUGAAAUUAAGCAGCAAAUGGACCCAAUUUUUUUCAACGCUGCAGCUGUGGGCAAUUCGGAACCGUUCAAAGACAUGCCAAGAGAGGUAAUUGGGAUCUUGUUUACAGCAAAGACCAAAAACACAAUCCUACAUAUCAACAUCAUAUCCCAAGAAAGAGAAAACGCGUCAACGAAGUUCGCAGAAGAAAUACUUGAGAAAUGCCCAUCGCUGCUACUACAAGUCAAUGCCAAAGGCGAUACUCCACUUCACGUUGCGGCAAAAUUCGGCCAUUCUGAUAUAGUGAGGGUUCUUGUCGAAAGAGCAAAAUUACUUCAACAUGAAAAUGAAGAGCUAGAGAGCGGGAUAAGAACUGCCAGGUAUAUGAUUAGGAUGACAAAUAAUGAGAAGAAUACAGCACUUCACGAGGCAGUGUGUCACCGGAACGUCGAUGUGGUGAAAAUACUGACGAAAGAAGACCCUGAUUAUCCAUAUUCUGCAAAUAAUGACGGCAAAACGCCACUCUACAUGGCUGCUGAUUAUGGGUCUUCUGAUAUGGUGCUUGCCUUAUUGGAAAACAGCACAUCAGCGUCUCAUGAAGGCCCCAACGGAAAGACGGCUUUGCAUGCUGCAGCAAUGAAAUCUUAUUUCGGUAAGUUUAGUUAUACCAUUUCAAUAUUGAUAUCUUUCUAUUAAUAGAUUCUUUCAUAAUGUUUAAGUAAAUACACCCUUUUAAUUCAUUAAUAAAUUAUUAAUUGCCAUAAAUUUAAUCAGGAUAAAUUGUCGGAUAUAAAUUAGUAUUUUAAAAUACUAUAAUAUCCCACAUUAAGGAGAAGUAAGAGCAGUUGAAUUUGGUUUGAAUUAAUUAUUUGGUUGAAUUGCUUACAAAUUAGAAUUGAAUAAUUCAAUUCUAUUUAUGAUUGAAUCAAAUUGUGAGACUCAUGAUGACUAAUUUAAAUUAAAUAAAAAAAGUAGAUAAUAAGUCCAUAUUUGAGUUAGGAAAAAGUUAAACAGUUUUGAUACAUGUGAAGCCUUUAAGGUGGGUUAGAUAGUUCAAUUUUUUUAAUAAUGUUCUUUACCGCUAUCUCAUCUUUCUUCACCAAUUUAUUUUCUUUUACUAUUCUGAAUUGUUGCCCUUGAGUGCAUGUAACCACCUGCCCCGAAUUCCAAAGGUGAAUCUAACUACGGCUGACAUAUAAACUUAGAUAUCUCUUUACAAUCGAUAAAAACUCAAUUCUCAAAAAGAAUUAUUAAACUGCAUCGGAAGAAAUUUAAAAUUUUGUCAAAUCAUCUACUAUCUUCAAUUUCAAUUUUUCUCCUCACUCAUCAUGAAUCAAUCCUUCUUUUCGGGAAUCACAAUAAAUUAUAUUGAACAUAGUAAACAAACUUAUUUUUCAUAUACGAAAUUACAUACUUGGUUAUAUAUAAUGCAAACCAAUAACAUGCCAUGGUAUUUUAAAAAUAUUGUAAAACAAAUUCAUUAAAAUUUCUUUUGCCACAUUCAAACUUCACAUUUCCUUUCAAAUCACGUAUUUCAAUUAUCUUAAUUCAAUUACUACUCAGUAGAACUCUCACUUAACAUUCAUAAUUUUGGUCUUCAUGUAAACGUCCUUCACUCACAUAUCUCUUAAACAUUACAUUUACAGUGUCCACUAAGCGAGUAAUGAAUUCAAGAAACUAACCAAAAUCGAAAAAUUUACUUUCUUUCUUCAAAAUCAAUUUGCUAAAAUUCACUUUCUUAUUUUCUAGAAAACAUGAUGCAUAUUCAUAUUUAUGCCAAUGAACUUUCACACAUACAUAUAUCCAUGCAUAAAUCAUACUUGACACAUAAUAGCACAUCACAUAAAUAUAUGGGCAAAUCAUAUAAAUUAACAUCCGUACAUAUUAAAAUAAGCUUUUCAAACACGUCAAAUAUAUACUUGUUUUUUAUUGUAAUUUACUUAUUUAGGACUUCCUCAAGUAACAAAAGUGUAUUGAUAUUAUCUAUGGGUGGGCACGGUUCGGUUCGGAUCGAAAUUAAGUAGAACCAAUUUAAAUCGGUUAUUUUAUAAAAAGAACCGAAUAAGAACCGAACUCAAACGGAUCUUUUCGGAUCAGUUCGGUUCGGUUCGGUUUUUUCGGUUUUGGGCCUAUUGGGCCUAUUUUGAAAUUUCAAAUUUUUAGCCCAUUGGGCCUCAUGAAUAUAAUAAUUUUUUUCAACAAUUAGUUCAUCCUAAUUUCACUACAAAUAUUAACAAUAAAUACAAAGUAUUCAAAAAUAUUUUAUCACUAAUAUCUUACUAAUUAUUAAUAAGGUACUCACAAAAUAUGAAAUAUUAAAAUUUCAAAAUACAUAACCAAACUCCAAUACUUCAUCUACAUAAACAUAAUCAUAAUGUUGUAAAGACAAAUAAAAAUAACAACAAUUACAACUUACAACACAAAAUAAAAAGAAAAUUUAGAAACAAACGCCAACGACAUUCUCCUAUCUUCACCAAAAAAAAAAAAAAAUUACAAACAAACGCCAACAACAUUCUCCCAUCUUCAUCAAUAUCAACAUCAACUUUAGGCAUUUUCCAACUCAAUAUUUGGAUCUAUAAAAAAAAAUUUAACACAUGUCAAUUUAAAUAAAAUCUAAAAUUAAUUCGAUUUUUUGGUUCGGUUUUUCGGUUCAGCUGAGUGAACCGAAUACCGAACCGACAUUUCGAUUUUUUUUACAAAUGAUAUAUUUCGGUUUUUUUUUUAAAUAAAAACCGAUCCGAAUUAGAAAAAACCACCGGUUCGGUUCGGUGUUUUUAAGACCACGAUUUUUUUGCCCACCCCUAAUAUUAUCGGUCUAAAACUAAUAAGAAAACUCUCAUAAAGAUAUCAUUAUGUCCUUAUUUGUAAGUUACUAAAAUAUCCCAAAAUUUUAAAUUACCAAAUUACCCUUGAAAAUCAUAAAUUACCAAAAUGCCCUCGUCGGUGAACGGUGACCGGAAUUCAAGCGGCGAUGAUCGAAAAAGUCAAAGCAGGAACUUCAGCUCGCUCUGAAUCCAACGGUGGAAGCGGUGUGCUCCAACGCGCAGCCAUGGUGCCGGAUCGAGCUUCGACAGCCGUGAAACUUCAACGGCUGAUCGGCGACAAAUCGGCUACUCUGUUUGAUGGUCAGAAAUUGAAGUAACUGCCAUAAAGAACAAAUCCCCGGUGACGACAUGACCCAUCCGGUAAAAACUCACCGAUUUGAGUCGUCGUCCUCCAUGACUUAACACGGCUUCGUGGGGUGGUCAUAGGCUGUUUUCCGGCAACAACGAUGAUGGGGAAAUGACCGGCGUCGUCUAAGAGUUCGGUUGAUACCCUCCAUCGGCGGAGAUGUGGCCGGAAUCGGAAGCAGCGAUUCAGGUUUAGUGAACAGGUUGACCCGACCCGUUUCUCUCUCCUCUGACCUGAUCGCGCACAUUCUAUCUCUCACUUAAUUCAGUUAAUCCGGUUAAUGACUGAAUAGCUUUAGGAGAAUUAAUUUUCGGAUUAAUGGCAAAAAUACUCUUAAUUUAUGAAGAAAUUAAGCGUUGUUAUGAAGGCAUUAAUUUUUUUACUGUGAAAUCUUCCUAAAAAAAAAAAUUAGUCUUUAGAAUUGUAAAUGUAAUGAAAAUUGGUCUUUUGGAUAACUAAGAUAGGGAAAGUUGGUUUUAGGAUAAUUAGAUUUACCAAAUUAGUCCUUAGAAUAGUGCUUCAAACGUGUCUUAAUGAAUUUUGCAAAAAUUGUUAUUUGAUUAUAUUUGAUUAUAGGCCAAAUAUAGGCCAUUUCUGAAUAUUUACCUAUAUUAAAAGUUUUCAUUAUUAUUUGAUUUAUCUUCUGUAUUCUCAGUUGAUGCUGCAUUACGAAAAUUACUUGAGAAAAAGAAGAAUCUGAUCAAAGAAACAGAUAAAUAUGGGUGGACUCCAAUUCAUUACGCUGUGUAUUAUGGAAAUUACGGGACGGUAAAUUUAUUAUUAGAAACGGAUCAAUCUGCUUCGAAUAUUGCUGACAAAGAUCGAAAGAUGACAGCCCUUCAUUUGGCAGCGGACCGAGGGUAUGUCGGAAUAGUUAAAGCAAUUAUUUCCAAAAAUCUAGAAUGUUACGAGCUGGUCGAUAACAGGGGAUGGAAUUUUCUCCAUUAUGCUAUGGUUAGUUUUUAUGUUGAAGAAUUAGGAAAUCUUCUUGAAAAUAAUCCGUUAGUGAGGAGUCUUAUAAUUGAGGGGGAUGUCAAGGGAAACACUCCUCUUCAUGUGCUGGCUGCUGUACGUCCAGAUGAAUUCGAUGUCCGUAUGAUUAGGAAGAUGCAAGCCAACUUUGACGCUGUCAACAAACAAAAUGUUAGUGUUACAAACAUUUUACUUAAUGGCUAUCCUGAGCUCAAGGUAAUUAUUUUAUUUGUUCUUUCAACUAAAUUAUUAAAAAAAAAUUUAUGCAAUUAAUUAAUAUUCAAAUGUAAAUUAAUUACAGGAAGAAAUCCAAAAAUUAUCCAAAGAUGUUGGCAGAGGACAAUAUUCAGAUGGUGUUAUAAGGGGACCAAAAUACCUUGUAGGGCAAAAUGAUGAUACCAAAGAUGAUUACAAGGAUACGAGAGCAUCACAUUUGGUAGUGGCUGCACUCAUAGCAACAGUAGCCUUCGCAGCAGCUUUCACCAUUCCAGGCGGUUAUAGAAGCGAAAAUGGAACUGCAAUCCUGAGGAGAAAUACAGCUUUUCAAGCAUUUAUAGUAGCAGAUUCCAUUGCCAUGGUCUUUUCUCUUUCUGCCGUCUUUACUCACUUCUUGAUGGCUCUUAAAAUUGAAGCAACUAAAGAUUUCGAUGAGGCUCUGUUUGCUGCUUCCAUUUGGUUCACCUUAUUUUCCAUGGGAGCAAUGGUGAUUGCAUUCGUUACGGGAACGUUUGCAAUGUUAGUACCUUCUUUAGGCCUUGCUAUUAUCACUUGUUUAAUUGGCUUGAGCUUUUUCUUCCUUGCGUUUUGGCUCAUCAAAUUGUCUAUUUUUUUAAGUAGGACAAAAGUAAUUGAUUGUAGUAAGUCACCAUCUUUGUUUAUCAAUAAAAUGAUUGAUUUUCAGUUUAACAUAAACAUUAAUUAAUUUACUCAAUCUUUGCUAAUAAUGAAUAAUUACUUUAAUUGUACAUUGAUCACUGAUGUUUUUAAUGAAAAUAAAAUUUGAGAUCCAGGCCGAUCUACUUUAUUGUUAAUGAUUAGAUUGAAUUGGUGAGAGGGAGUCAAAAUCAAAUUUAAUAUUUCAAAUUGUUUGUAUUUUCUUAUGUUGAUGGAAUAAAAUCUUGAUUACUUUGUCAAAAAAAAUUGAAAAAAUUUAUCUCUUUGUAUAAUGCGUCAUUAGAAAUCUUCAAUUAGACAUGAGUAAAGAAAAUCCAUGAUGCAUGUUUAAGAGUAUAUAUUUGUUUUUUUUAUAGGUUAAUAUAUUGCCAUCGGAAUUUUAUUAAUAUUUACAAUAAAAAAUCUAUCGAAAUUAUUCUUAAUAAGUCUAGUACGGCACAAUUUGAAUUUCUACCCUCACAUAAUAUCAAAGGGAUAUUUGCUCUACUAAUAUUAAUAGAGGAAAAAUCUACUCCUAUCUAAUUUAAUUAGAAGGAAACCAAGUCCAAUAAUAGUUAAGACUCAAAGGUUGUACUAAUGGGCUCAUGAUUACUUAUAUAGGUAAAUAAAAUUUUACCAUUCAACAGAGAUAAUGACACAUCACUUUAAAGUUAAAUCCUAGGACCUGUCUAUGGUACAAAUUCUGUAACAAACAUCUCCCGUCAUCCCACCAUCCGAUCUUCUAUUGUUUAGUUUCUCACUCCACAUCCAACUACAUCCAACGGCUGAUGCUGCAGUCUGUAGCUUACAGAUUCUAUCCUAAAUCCUAUAUCACCAAAUGAGUUGAAUCAAGACCGAGAAAGACAGGGGGACGUUACUUUGAAGGAAUUAUUGCAACCAUUGAAAACUAAUAAAUGAAAUGAUUGAGGCUUCGGAAGCUCAGGCACAUGAUGGGCUAGGUUCUGUUCAGCCCGUCCAUACUUGGAAGGGCUUUUAUGAGAUUAGGCUGGAGCCUGGACUUGUCCAAGUUCAGCCCAUUUUCCAUCCCCUUUUGGUCCCACCACUGAACAGAAAGGAAUCCCAACUCCGAAUUAGCCUAAUCAUCUGCUAUCUGCUGAAUUCCGUGGAAAUAUGUGUGAACCAAAAACAAAAUCGACUUUGGAUUCCUAAAGACUGUGCAAAACACGCACGUGAGCCGAUCCAUGGCCCAAAAGGCGAUUUUUGGACGAUGAUAAAGCGGGCAAGGCAAAAUGCCAAUUCUUAUCAGUAGAAUUGAGGUAAAGUCUCAGUAUGUCUCGACCUUGGUCGUGAGAUUUGAUCAAUUAAAAUUAUAAUUUAGGUGACAUUUUGAGAUAAUAUUACAACAGUUAUUUUUAAUUGAAAUUAAUUAUUCUCAAAAACUACCAAAUAUAUGCUUACAAAUUCAAUAUUCACAAAUUCAAAUGAAUUAGGUUGUAUGAUAUAUAUCACAAACAAAUCAUUUCUAUAAACCAUUUAAUCUAUCACAUAUCGUGUCAAUUGCACUUGAUUUGGUUUGCCUUUGCCAUCUGCUUAUACAUACUAAUUUUAAUAGGAUAAUCGAUCACUAAAUCCUCAAUGUUUAUUUAAUUAAACUACCUCAAAGACUUAGCUGAGUAAUUUUUAAAUAAUUUUACUUUAUUAAUUACCCGAAUUCAAAUCCAAUAGGAGGUUGAGGAAGAAAAAAUUGAAUUGGGCUAGCUGAGGUAGAUUCUUUUUAAGAAGCUCUAAUUAGAAAAAAAAAUUUAAUAUAUUUAUGUAGAUUGCAGCUAGUUUUGUCGGUAAAUUCUUAUUGAAAUAUCUUUAAUAAAUUUCAACAAGGUAUUCAAUAUGUGAGAGGUUUGAGAUGAAUUAGAUUGAAACUAAAAAACAGAGUCUCUUUGACAAUAUAUUAAUAGUGCGUUUAUUAACUAUGAAUCCUAAUAGGCAAGGAUCAUAAUGGGUUGGAAUCAAAAUGUAGAAUAAUAAAUUGUCUACUUCAACUACAAGAAUCGAGAUAAAAAACAAUAGUAUUUUCAAAUUUGAUGUGUUUAUUUUAUCUUAAAAUUAGAAUAGAUGAUUGUAAGUUACAAAAAUAGAGUUAAAAAAAUUAAUUUUCAAUAAAGAUAAAUAAUUUUACUCUUUAUUCUCAUUUCUCCAUUCUUAUUCACGUCUCUUCUAUCUAAAUGAAAUUCCUACUCAUUCCCAAAUUUAUGAGAUUCACUCAAAUUUUAUUUAUAUUUCUUUGUAUUUUUAACAAAUAAAUAUUAUUAGUAAUUCUCAUUCCUCAUUUUUUUUCUAAAUCCUAAAAAUAAACAUAUUAAUGACAUUCAUUGCAUCGAAAAAAUCAUGUGGCUAUCCUAAAAUUGAUCUAAGAACCCACAUUGAGAAUUUGUUUCCUUCUAACUUUAUUUUGACUUUCAAAAGACACGACUUCACUCCCGCAUUCAACCAAUGAAAAGUGGAUAGUUGCUGGUUGUGAGGAAGCCACUUUGGAUUUGGUGAUAGUCACCCUUAUUAGUUAUGACCACCAAAAUGGGAAGUGGCUUAAAAAGCAAAUUACUCUUUCUUAAAAAAAAAAAAAAACCAAAGUUGGUUAGUGUGAGUGAUUUGACACUCUCACUCCUUAAGAGAGGUUAGGGGUUCAAGCCCUGCUCUCGUAUGUAGUCACCACUUUGGCUAGCACUUUACCUCUUACGGGCCGAUCCGGUGCGAGCGGGGAUUAGUCUAAGUUGUGGUACGAGCUUAAAGGUGCCUUCCACAGUUGGGGUCCACUCAGGACCACCUCGUGGUUCAGACAAAAAAAAAAAAAAAAAAGAAUUUUGACUGUAGACUCUCUUGUAUCUACUCAUUGUGAGUUAGAUUCUCUCAUUAUUAGAAAUGUCACCUGUAACUGUAAGUUGUAUAAGGGGAGCCAAUCUCCCUAGCAAAUAACCAAAACGCACAAUAAAAGAAAAGAAAGACAUGUAACUGUAAGUCGCAUCAAGGGGCCUAUCUCCCUAAAAAAUAACCAAAACCCACAAUAAAAGAAAAGAAAUAGAGAGGGGGAUUCGUGAAAUACUGAAAAUUACGGUGAUAAUAAAUUUUAAUUAAUAUAUGUACCACAACUGCUAUAAACAAUAACAGAUAAAUUAAGAAUUUUUAUUAGAUAAUGAUUUUUUUAUCAUUCUAAUUUUGACUAAUAGACGAAUUUAGUGAUUUUAAUAAAUUAAUGAGAUAUUUAAAAAAAACCAUUAUACAACUUUGUAUUCUCAUUCAUAUUUUAAAUGAACAAUUUAUUGAAAUUAUAAAUAUAAUUAUUAUUAAUAAAAUAUCACUCCAUUGUUAGUCUACUGAUCUUUUGUUCAUCAGAAAAUUCCAAAGGAGUGGUUGUAAAUCCCCAUCUUCAAAAGGGAAAAAAAAAAGGUCCAAAGCAAAAUUAUACUACUCGUACGUCCCAUUCAUAGAAUUAUUGCUUCUCUUUUUCGUCACUUCAAAAUUAAGCGUACUGUGCAUCCGAGAUACUAUUCACCCUUGCCUAAUGGAUCAACUUCGCCAACAUGAAUUAUGUUUCCAUUGAGACUGAGGAAGCUUCAUUAUUAGACAACAAUGGCGAGAUCAGUCAGUCGCAAAUAGACCCAAAUUUGUUCAAAGCCACAGCUGCGGGCAAUUCGGAGCCCUUCAAAGAUAUGGCAAGAGAGGUAAUUAAGAGCCUAUUAACAGCAAGACCAAGAACACAAUCCGGCAUAUCAACAUCAAAUUGCAGAAGAAAGAAAAUGUGUCAACCAAGUUUGUAGGAGAAAUACUUGAGAUAUGCCCAUCGCUGCUACUGCAAGUUAAUGCCAAAGGCGAUUCUCGAUCACUUCUCAAUGCGACAAAAUUCGGCCAUUGUGAUAUAGCGAGUGUUCUUAUUGAAAGAGCAAAAUUAGUUGAGCAUGAAGAUGAAGAGCUCGAGAGCGGGGUAGGAGCCUCCAGGCAGACGAUUAGGAUGACGAAUCAAGUGAAGCAUACGGCUCUUCACCAGGCAGUAUUUCAUAUAACUGUCGAUGUGGUGAAAAUACUGACGAGAGAAGACCCUGAUUAUCCAUAUUCUGCAAAUAAUUACAGCAAAACGCCACUUUGCAUGGCUGCUGAGUAUAAGCAAAGAUUGCUGACAAAGAUCGAAAGAUGAGAGCUCUUCAUUUGGCAGCGGGCCGAAGGGAUGCCAGAGUAGUUGAAGCAAUUAUUUCCAGAAAUCCAGAAUGUUAUGAACUGGUCGAUAACUGGGGAUGGAAUUUUCUUCAUUAUGCUGUGUUUAGUUUUGAAGUUGAAGAAUUAAGAAAUCUUGUAGAUAAUAUGUUAGCAAGUAGUCUUAUGAAUGAGGGGGAUGCCAAGGGGAAAUCUAAUGUCCAUUUUUUUGCUGCUGUCCGUCGAAAAUAAUUCUUUGACGAUUUAUCUGGAAGAGUAAAGCCAACUAUGAGGCCAUCAACAAGCAAAAUGUUAGCGUUGCAAAAUGUUGCACCAUGGCUAUCUUGAGCUCAAGGUAAUUAUUAUUAUUAUUAUUUUUGGUUUCAAAUUGUAUAUAUUGAUUUAUUAAUUAAUAUUCAAAUGUAAAUUGCAGGAAGAAAUGUUGAGAUAUAAUUAGUAAUCUAGUAAAUUGAGCAAGAAGUUUGAAGGGUUAUUUGGUUUGUUUUUCAACGUGAAGUAAAGGGUAGAAUUGAUGUUUGCAAUGUGGCUUUGGAAAUGUAAAGCAUGAUUAAUGUAAUCUCUAGAGUUGUCUAUAAUGCAUAUAAAUAUAGAACUCUGGUUGUAUGAAAAGAAAGAGAGAAAAGAAAAAAUGAAUUAAGCAAUAAAGUUUCAGGUAAUUUCCAGCAAAAUACUCUGUUCUUAAAUAAAAAAUUCUCUGCACUUCCGCUUGCACCCAACAAAUUUGGUAUCAGAGCUUUUCCAAAACACCCUCAAAAUGACAUCAAAUACCCUACCCACAUUAUUUUCAUAUGCUCUCAGUCAAGUUCCAAUAUUUGAAGGGGUACAUUAUGAAUAUUGGAGUAAUCAAAUGGAAACAUUUUUCCUCUCUCAAAAUUUAUGGGAUGUUGUUGAAGAUGGAUAUGCUAAACCACCAGAAUCUGCAAGUUCUUCAGAUUGGACUCCAGCACAUCAACAGCAGUACAAAGAAAACAUACAGAGAAAUGCCACGGCACUUCGAUAUAUCCAGCAAGGUGUUAGUAAGUCAAUUUUCCCCAGAAUAUUUGGUGUCAAAAAGGCCAAAAAUGCUUGGGAAAUCCUAAAACAAUAAUUUCAAGGUUCCGAAAAGGCAGUCACCAUCAAGUUACAGACUUUGUGGAAAGAGUUCGAUAAUUUAUCAAUGAAAGACAGUGAAGGAGUUCAGGAUUUUUGCAGCAGAGUUACUGAGAUUGUGAACCAGAUUAAAGGUUGCGGGGACUCCAUUGAAGACAAGAAGGUGAAUGAAAAGGUGUUGAGAUGUCUUCCUCCAAAGUUUGAUCAUGUAGCAGCAGCCAUUGAAGAAUCAAGGGAUUUGUCCAAGAUGACUUUUUCAGAUUUGUCAGGAUCAUUACGGUCUCAUGAGCAAAGAAUCAAUCGACCUUCAAGUCAGCCUACAGAGCAAGCUUUUCAGUCAAAGAUUAAUAAUUCAGAUCAGAAUAAAAGCAGCAAGAAAGACCAGAAGAAUGGAGGCUCGUCUCAAAGAAAUGGACAGCGUGGCAAAGGGCAAAGAGAACAGAACGACAACCCCAACAAGUGGAAAAAUGACAGCGGGAAUUCACAGAAAAAUUCAGAUUCUCAGUGCAUCAUUUGUAAUCGGUCUAAUCAUGAAUCAAAAGAUUGUCGUUAUAAAUGCACAAGGUGUCGCAUUCCUAACCAUUCGCAAAGGGAUUGCUGGUAUCAAAAUAAGACAGGCAAAAAUGAGGCAAAUUUUACAAAAGAAGGUGAUGGAGAUUACUUGUUUUAUUCAAGUAAAGGUGUUGAACGUGAAUCAUAUAAUUUGUGGUACUUGGAUAGCGGCUACAGCAACCACAUGACUGGAGAACGUGACAUUUUCAUCAGCCUUGACCAAAGUUUUAAUUCGCAAGUGAAGCUUGGAGAUGGAAAGAUGCAGAAAGCUGUGGGAAAAGGCAUUAUUGCUGUCCAUACAAAGGGAGGUAACAAAAAGCUCAUUUCUGAUGUUCUUUAUGUUCCAAAUUUAACUCAAAACCUCUUGAGUGUGGGGCAGCUAAUUCAAAAGGGUUUUCCAAUUUAUUUUGAUGAUGAAAAAUGCAAAAUUAUUGAUAAAACUAAUAAUCACACAGUGGCCGUUGUUGAAAUGUCAAAGAACAAAGUUUUUCCUCUUGUUAUGCCACUUGAUGAGAAUGUUGCUCUCAAAACUGAAAAUUCAGAUUUGUCAAAUUUAUGGCAUCUCAGAUAUGGCCAUUUAAACUAUAAAGGGCUGAAUUUGCUCAAGCAAAAGAACAUGGUGAUUGGCUUACCUGAUGUUGGAAGAUAUGAAAAAGUUUGCGAGGGCUGUAUAUAUGGAAAAAUGCAUAGACUUCCAUUUCCUAAAAAUUCAUGGAGAGCCAAAGCUCCGUUGGAGUUGGUGCAUGCUGAUAUUUGUGGUCCUACAAGGACUUUCUCUCUCAAUAACAGAAGAUAUUUCAUUCUUUUUGUUGAUGACUAUACAAGGAUGAUGUGGAUUUAUUUUUUGAAUGAAAAAUCAGAAGCUUUCUCAACUUUUCUUCAGUUUAAAGCUCUUGCAGAAAGGCAAAGUGGAUGCAAAAUGAAGACCUUGAGAACUGAUCGUGGUGGUGAAUUUAUCUACACUCCAUUCAUGAAUUAUUGCAGGGAUAAUGGAAUUCAAAGACAACUUACUGUCAGCUGAAGUCCACAACAAAACGGAGUCGUAGAACGGAAGAAUCGUACCAUUGUAGAAAUGGCAAGAAGCAUGUUAAAAGGCAAAGGCAUUCCUAACAACUUAUGGGCAGAAGCAUGUCAUACAGCUGUGUACAUUCUUAACAGGUCUCCUACAAAAGCUGUUAGAGACAAAACUCCAUUUGAAGCUUGGCACAACCGAAAGCCAACUGUUGAUCACUUGAAGAUUUUUGGGAGUAUUGCUUAUGCUCUUAUUCCAGCUCAAAACAGGGAGAAGUUUGAUGAAAAAGGUGAAAAAUAUUUGUUUAUUGGCUAUAGUGAUGAGUCUAAAGGGUAUCGGUUGUUGAAUCCUACAACAAAUAAGCUUGUUAUCUCAAGAGAUGUUGUAUUUGAUGAGGCAUCAGCUUGGCAGUGGGAAAAAGAUCAAUCUCAAGCAUCUAGCUUUUUUUAAGCUCCUGUAUCUCCACCAAAUUCUUCACAGCAAAAUAAUUUGGAACCAAAUUCUCCAAAUUCGGCAACAGAAAGUUCUUCGGAUGAUGAAAGUCCUCCAAGGAAGAUAAAGUCAAUGAGAGAAAUUUAUGAGUCAUGUGAACUUGCUUUAUUUUCUUGUGAGCCUCAAGACUUUGAGGAGGCCUCAAGAAAUGAAGAUUGGAUCAAAGCAAUGAACGAGGAAAUGGCCACCAUUGUGCAAAAAUAAAACUUGGGAGAUGGUUAAUUUGCCAAAUGGAAAAGAAACAAUUGGGCUGAAAUGGAUCUUCAAAAUCAAGUACAAUGAAGAUGGUUCAGUUCAAAAAUAUAAGGCGCGGCUCGUUGCCAAAGGAUACUCUCAAAUGCCUGGAGUUGAUUUUACAGAAACGUUUGCUCCCGUAGCUCGAAUGGAGACUAUUCGAACUGUUCUUGCCUUGGCAGCCCAAAUGGAAUUAAAUGUGUUUCAGCUAGAUGUAAAAUCAGCAUUUCUAAAUGGUGAAAUUGAAGAAGAGGUUUAUGUUGAGCAGCCUAAAGGAUAUGAAGUGAAAGGUGAAGAAAACAAAGUUUAUCGACUCCGAAAAGCCUUGUAUGGCUUGAAGCAAGCCCCUCGAGCGUGGAAUAGCAGAAUUGAUAGAUAUUUCGUUAAAAAUGGAUUUGACAGAAGCUCAAGUGAACCUUCUCUUUAUGUCAAAAAGGAAGGUACUGAUUUCCUUAUUGUUUGCCUUUAUGUUGAUGAUCUAAUUUAUUGUGGCACUAGUCUGAAAAUGGUGCAAGAGUUUAAAAAAAGCAUGCUAGAUGAAUUUGAGAUGACUGACUUGGGCUUAAUGAAGUAUUUUCUUGGCAUUCAAGUGAAGCAACCCAGAGGAAAAAUCUUCUUUUGUCAAGAAAAAUACGUAGAAGAUUUGUUGAAGAAAUUCCACAUGUUCAAAUGCAAACCAGCACCUACUCCUAUGGGUUUGAAUGAAAAAUUGAAACAUGAUGAAAAAGAAGAAAAGGCUGACGCAAGAAUCUAUAGAAGCUUGGUUGGUUCGUUGAUUUAUCUAACCAACUCAAGACCUGACAUUUUGCACUCAGUUAGUGUUCUUUCUAGAUUUAUGAAUGAUCCAAGGAAGUCCCAUUAUAUUGCAGCAAAGAGAAUCUUAAGGUAUCUUCAAGGAACAAAAAAGCAAGGGAUCAUGUAUGAAAAAGAAGACAAUUGCAAGCUUGUUGGUUUUACAGACAGUGACUGGGCUGGUUCCCUUGAUGACAGAAAAAGCACAUCAGGUUAUUUAUUUUGUCUUGGUACAAAUGUGAUUUCAUGGAGCUCAAGGAAGCAGAAGUCAGUAGCUUUAUCCUCAACCGAGGCAGAGUAUAUUGCAGCAACUGAAUCAGCUUGUGAAGCCGUUUGGCUUGGAAGAAUUCUCAAGGAUUUGCAGUUCAAUCAAGAUGCUGCAACAACAAUUUAUUGUGACAACAUGUCAGCCAUAGCUCUAACAAAAAACCCCGUCUUUCACUACAUCCGUGACUUAGUAAGCAAAGGAGAAGUUAAUAUGGAGUUUAUCAGCACUAAUGAGCAGCCAUCAGAUUUUCUGACCAAAGCAAUCAUCAUUGAGAAGUUUGAAAAAUUCAAGAAGCAAUUGAAGAUUACUAAUUAAGAGGGGGUGUUGAGAUAUAAUUAGUAAUCUCGUAAAUUAAGCAAGAAGUUUGAAGGGUUAUUUGGUUUGUUUUUCAACGUGAAGUAAAGGGUAGAAUUGAUGUUUGCAAUGUGGCUUUGGAAAUGUAAAGCAUGAUUAAUGUAAUCUCUAGAGUUGUCUAUAAUGCAUAUAAAUAUAGAACUCUGGUUGUAUGAAAAGAAAGAGAGAAACGAAAAAAUGAAUUAAGCAAUAAAGUUUCAGUAAUUUCCAGCAAAAUACUCUGUUCUUAAAUAAAAAAUUCUCUGCACUUCCGCUUGCACCCAACAAGAAAUUCAAAAAUUAUGCAAAGAUGUUGGCAGAGGACAAUACUCAGAUGCUGUUGUAUCGAUAAGAAAACCACAUGUAUUUCAAGAGCCUGUGUUUCCUGAAGAUGAUUUCAAUGAUGCCAGAGCGUCACAUCUGGCAGUGGCUACACUCAUAGCAAUGGUAGCCUUCGCAGCAGCUUUCACUAUUCCUGGUGGUUACAAAAGCGAAAAUGGCACUGCAAUCCUGAGGAGAAAUACAGCUUUUCAAGAAUUUAUGGUAACAGAUACCAUUGCCAUGAUCCUUUCUCUUUCUGCCGUCUUUACUCACUUCUGGUUGUCUCGUAUGACUGAACUAACUAAAGAUUUCGAUGAGGUUCUGUUCAGCGUUUCCGUUUGGUUCGCCUUAUUGUCCAUGGCAGCAAUGGUGAUUGCAUUUGUUACGGGCACAUAUGCGAUGUUGGCACCUUCUCUAGCCCUUGCCAUUAUUACUUGUUUAAUUGGCUUAAACUAUUUCGUCCUUGCGUUUUUGGUCAUCAAAGAUAUUUCAGUGAAAAAUCAUGGGUAGGAAACUGUUGCUGAAAGAAGAUUUACACCGUCUUUUUAGUAAGGUUUGAAGUCGGGACCUAAGUUUUAGGGAGGCUACUCCUCAUCGGAUGUUGCUUUGGUGGAAUAAUAAACUUACUAAUGUUAGCACCUUCCUUAGGCCUUCCCAAUUUCCCAUUAUCACUUGUUUAAUUGUGUUGAGAUUAUUCUUCCUUGUGUUUUGCUUUAUCAGAAGAUAUAUCUGUAAGAAAUCGCUAAAAAGAAAAUUGCUUCUUUUUCAUAAAAUAAAGAUAUUAUUCAUAAACGGUUUUCUUACUCACCGCUUUUUUUUUUUUGGUUAGCCUCCUUAAAGGCAAUCUUUAUGUCUUGAAAUUUAUAUAAAUUUAAGCAAAUCUUAAUUAAAAAAGAGAGUUAGUAAUGAAUAAUUUUGCAAUUUUGGAAGAAAUUAAAUAUAAAAAUUUCAUUGUUAAAUGCAUUCCGUGGAUUCUUCGUUUUCUUGGAUGGGAAUCGAGGAUAGUAGAAUUUUUUAAAUAUUCUUAGGCUAAAGCCAUAUUGAUAAUAUUUCAUUUUUUUGUUUUAAGAUUUCUUUAGUAUACACCAACUUAAAAUUAAAAUAAAAAAAAAUUUCAACUUGUCACUAGCUAAUUAAAAAAAAAAAUGUUUAUUAGUAUAAAUUUUAUCCCAAAUUAUCAGAUUAUGAUUUCAACCUAGGAUGGCCUCUUAAAACUUGCUUGAGCUUCCUUUUUAUUGGAUGAACUCCCGAUGUGGACUUCUCAUGUUGUGCCUUUCAUUUUCAAGUUUAAUUUUGCUCAGUUGAAAUUUCUUCAAAGAGAUGUCCACUUAUUUAGUGAUGAAAAUGAUCUUGAUAAGAUAAUGCCCUACAAACAUAAGAAAAACAGUCAAAGGGCCAGCUUUAACGACGUGGACACUCUAGCGAUCAAGUUAAUCAUCGAAUUUUUAAAAAUCUAAUGUUCAGAGUGUGAAAAUUUAGAGAAAUAAAGCCUAGAGAGAGAAAGUCUUCUCUAGCCACUCUCCCCCAAGAUCUUUUUGUCUAAGGUCAUUUUCUUCCAAGCAGUCCCUAUACCUCUCUAGAGGAGCCAGAAUCAACUUCAUCGUCACUAGGAUCAACUUCAUCGUCACUAGGAUCGCUUGAGUUCUCCCUUUCCUCAACUUGAGCUUGGAACUAAUAAAAAAUUCUAUCAAAGUUCGAAGCUAAUGAAUCCACUUUACUUUGGAUCAAGCUUGCCCUUGUCGUUAGGCUUCAUGAUGUGGAUUAGGAAAAGGAUAAACGAGUACCAUGGCUUCAAAUGAUGAAUCCAUCAGUGGUCUUCUUCGUUGAAAAUGGGCUUCCUUAACCCUAGAACUCAAAGAUUCAAACACAGGGUCAUGAUACUCGUAGCUCAAAUCCAUGCUCACAGUUCCAAGACUUUUAGUCGGGAGUUCUCGUAGACAACGCCAAUUUUGUUGGUAAAAAUUUUGUCCCAAUUUAUAAAAUGAUAAUUUCAUGAGCUUCCUCUUUAUUGGAUCAAACUAUGUUGAACUCUCAAUGUGGGCUUCUUAUGUUGUGCCUUUCAUUUUCAAGUUCAAUUGUACUCAUUUGAAUUUUCUCUUAAGAGUUUUCUGCUUCCUUAUGUGACGAGGAUGACCUUAAUUAGAUAAUGCUCUAUAAAUAUAAGUAAAAUAGUCAAAGGCUUGCCUCACCAGCGUAAACCCUUUGAUGAUCAAGUCGAUCACCAAAUUUUUAGAGAGAAAAGUUUAGAGUGAGAAAAUUUGGAGAUAUAAAGCCUAGAUAGAGAGAGUCACUAUUUAUCCUCUUGAGUGAUUUUUGGCUUAUCUUUGAAAAAAGAUGGGAACUUAUAUUUGUAAAUGACUUUGAUUUGACUUGAGUCCUUAUUGUAUUGACGACAAACGUCAUUGUCUUUAUAACACCGGGCAACACUUGUCUUCUUGCGACCAUGCCAAGUAACACUUGGACAUACAACUUUGUCCUCAGAUCAAAAGAGGAAGUUUCUCCAUCCUUUUUGUUUGGUAGAGGAUAUAGUAUCAUUAUGCUUAGUUUUCAAAGGAAGAUAUGUUUUUAUCAUAGGUUUUCAACCUAGAAGUUUGUCUAAGGAGGUUUAUCUUUAGGAAAUUUGUCCUAAGAGGUUUUUUUCUAGAUAAAUUGUCCUAUGAUCAUGGGAUCUUAAGAACCUAAGAGUUUAUUCUAGGUAGCAUGUCUCCUAAAACCUAUAAGACUUAUCUUAAGAGGUUUUUCCCAUAAUCUAGGAAUCUAAAAGGUUUAUUUUGUUUCCUCUUAAUUAGUUGGUAAAACUAUAAAUGAAAGAGUGAGACAGAGAACAUUGAAGCAAAACCAUCCAUCCAAUUACACCAACAGAACAAGAACCUUUCAUUGUUAAAAUGUGAGUUGCUAGUGUUAUAUAUAUAUAUAUAUCUUCACUUUUAAUUCAUUCAACGUAUAAGAAUAUAAUAGUGAGUCUAUCACGAACAAUUACACAAAUAUUUGGAUUAAUGUACAGAUAACCCAUUGCAGUCAACAGAUAAACAAUCAUUGAUUUCUUAUUCUGAUGUGUUGUGAAUAGUAUCAGUAUACUAAAGAAUCAUGUAAUGAUACAGUCUUUUAAUGUCGUACACGAUCAAUUCAAACGUCGCCAGGAAAAUUUUAUUCUUGCUAGUUAAAUUAUAAAUUUGUUUCCAUAAGACUAAUUAAAUACAUUAAAUUUAGGUCCAAAAAACAACCAACAAUGUAACAGAUCAAUGAUAGAAAAUCAUUUACAAUCUCUUAUUGUCAAAUCUGAUCCUUGUAGACAUAAAAUCUGAAAGACAACCAACACAGCAACACAAACAAAGCCAAAUGAACACAAGUCACCACAGAGGGUGGUGGGAACACAGUCGCCAUAUCCGUGGAACCAAAAAUCCACAGACCUAGAUCUAUGGAUAUAUUGAAUUAUACCACUAAGGGCCCGUUUGGGAUUGCUUUUAGGAGAUUUAAAAGUGAUUUUAAAAAUCUAAAAGUUAGUUUUAGUGUUUGGUAAAAAAAAUCAAAAUCACUUUUGUCAAAAUCAGCCCCUCCUACAGCUGAUUUUGAAAAGCAGUGAAGGAGUAGCUUUUAGAUUCUGAUUUUGAGAAUCAAUUUUAUCAUUUAAUACAAUUCCAUGAAUAUCCUUAAAAUUAUUACCUAAACCCAAAAUUAUCCUUAUUCAAAUUGGAAACAAAAUAAAUAUUUUAAUAAAUUUGUAUUAUAAUUCAUCAAUAUAAAUUUAUUACUAUCAAUUUGUUGGUCGAAUUAUUAUUGAAUUUGUUUCACUAUAUUAUUAAUUUAAUUAUCAAUUGUUUUAAGAUAAAAAAUAAAAAAGUAAAAUCAAUAUAUUAUAAAUUUUAUUUUUAAUAAAAAUUAUUAUAAUACACAAUUAAAAAUAUUAUAUGUACAUAUUUUAUAUAUAUAAAUAAAUUUUAUCUUAUAUUAUGUAUAUUUUAGUCAUUUAUUUUCUCGUAACAGUUUAACAGUAAAAUUUACCAAACGUCCAUAAUUGCUUUCAAAACUCACAGUACUUUUUAAAACAAAAUUUACCAAACACUUAACUGAUUCUCUUCACAGUUGAUUAUUUCUACAGCACAGCUAACAGCAAUUAUUUUAAAAGCUACAGCAUUCCCAAACUGGCCCUAAGUCAUUUUACAUAAUUAUACUCAAAAGGUAAAAAUAUUCUCCACUUUAUUGUCAAUUUUCAUAACAAAGUUGAAUAAUAAAUCGAAUUUAAGUUUGUAGGCUUAUAAUUCAAUAGUGCUUGCAAAUAUAAUAUAAAACUUAUGAAUCAAUAUUAAGUGUAAAAUAAAAAUAAAAUAUAGGACUUGUAAAUAGAAGGUAAAACAUGUAAAUUAAUAUAAGAAUUAUUGAAAAAAAUAAAAACUAAAAAAUGUAAGAUCAAACCUCAUUUUAAUAAUGAUUACCUUAUACAUUUGUUGAUUUAUUUUUUUUCUAAACUGAAGAAUGAUAGUUUUGGGUUUAUGUAAUAUAUAUGAUGAUAUAUGUAGAAAUUUUAUUAAGGAUAAAACUUAAUUUUAAAAUCGGAUUUUGAAAAACUCUUCUUUUCAUAUUUUUCAAAGUUGCUCGUAGGAUAAGGUGAUUUUUCAUCAUUUUAAAUCUUCUUGAUAGCAACCACAAAUGAUCUUUAAAUACAAGUAAGAAGCAAAGUUUAAAAUUACAUAAAAUAUAUAUAAAACAUAAAAUUAGAUACAAUUUUAUUGAUAAUAUAUAUAUAUAUAUCUUUUUAUUUUGUUUUGACUUAAUGCAUUCAAGAAAAAUAAUUUGUUUAAUUAACCUCUGUAGUAAACAAUACUAUGAUAAAAAAUAAAAAAAAAUAAUGAAUGUCAUAGAAUGAAUCUAGAAUUUAUAGUUAAAUCAAUUCAAUAAAACUUAUUCUAAUUGUUUUCAAUACAAUUUUUUUUAAUUGAUGACUCACUUUGUUCUUUAUUUAAUUAAGUUAAAUAAAUAAGCUAAUUUUAUUUAAUGAAAGAUUAAUAUUGAUUUCAAAGUUUUAUGUUAUUUUAUAAGUGUUUGUUUUGUUUGUAAUUUGAAAACACUAAUUUACCACUCAUAUAUUAAUAUACUAAUUUUAUCUUUUAUUUAAUAAUUUUAUAUGUAAUUUACAAAACUUAUAUUUAUCAUGAUAAUAAUGCCGUAAUUUUAAUCAUAGUAUCAUAGAAUUUUUCAAAUUUCAGAUAGUAUAUUUUUUGGUUAUUGUAAACAAUUUUUUAUAAAAAUUAAAUAGGGGCAUUAUAGUAUUAACGUACUUUUUUAUAUUUUGAUGUUAUUUGGAGCAAACAAGCUACGUUACAGACUGUAUGUAACAGCUCAGUACAAAUUGAUCUUGUAUCAGCUAACUUUUCCCUCUCCUGCAACACGUGGAUGCUCCCCAUUUGCUACGUUUCAGACUCUAUAAACAACAAAGUCAUCGACUUGCUGUUUUUCCAAGCAAUCACUCAGCAUCUUGCCGCAUAUUUGAGUCAGAGCCCAAACGCCCGAUUUUCAUCCUUGAAUUGAAGGAUGAUUUUGUUUUGGAGCUCGGCGUGGCAAGAAUGCAUUAUCGAACCAUUAUUACAUAUCAUCAUUACAGAGCAGUACCUGAACCACGUGAUCUCCCACCGCAAUUUUUUUAAUAAAAUAUAUAUUUAUUUCUUUUAAAAGACCAAUAACACCCGGACUGUCUCAUAUUACAUAAUCAUACUCUAAAAAGGCUAAAAUAUCCUAAAUAAAAAAAUAUUCUCACUAAAUAAAAAAAUAUUCUCAACUUUAUUAUCAAUCUUCAGCGAUCAUGCUAUGUUACCACAGCGGUAACAUACCGCACUUUUUUGUUCUUUUAAAUUAAUUACACUACAAUCCCUGUUUUAUGCUAAAAUUAGAAAAAAAAUCGAUAAUCUUAAAUUUUGACUCAUUAGCCCUACUUGUUUUGAUUUUUUGAAACUUAAAUCAAAAUGUGAGGGUAUUUUUUAAUUAUUAAUUCACACACCCAUCAUCAAAGUUGUAAAAAGAAAAUUUACUCCAUACACCUACUUAAAUGUCAAAUAUAUCCUUGUUAAAACUAAUUUCAUAUUUUUACUAAAUUAAUUAAUUAAAAUGAUAUAAAAAAAUGAUUGAAUUAUUUACAUGCCCACUAGUUUCAAUUCCAUAUCUCUAGCAAUUAGCAACUGAAUUUUAUCACUAACUCAAGAUUAUCAACCAUGAGAUGUGAAAAAAAGGUUCUCAAAUAAAUGUGGAGUAUAAAAUAACUUUGCCUUCAAAUUCUUUUAAAAGAUUCUAAACUUAUUUAUUAAGCUCGUAGAUGUAAGAAUAAACGACGAGAAAGUUGCCACCCUCCCUCACACUUUUUGAUACCUUCUUAUUAAACAAUAAAAAAUUAUUAAUUGGUAAAUUAAUAUAUUUUUAUUGCAUAUUGAAAUUAUUUACUAUAUAUUGAAUAAGUAUUAUGAAAAAAAUAUUAACUACAAAUUAAGAACAAGAGAUCAAAUUCAUACUAUAUUUAUCAUAAAAUAUUGUUUGUAAUUAAUACAUGGUUUUACUAUAUAUUAAACUAAUUAAUUAAUAAGAAAGAAUAUUAAUUUAAACAUAUUAAUUCAAAUAUAAGAAUAAAUUAAUUUAUUAGUGAAAUUAACUGGGUCAUUUGACACAAUAUAUUGUAUUGCAUUAGAUGCAUUAUAUUACAGUGUGUGUCAUUAAUGUGUAUUGAAUUGUAAUAUUUAUAUCAUUAUUUAGAUUGCUAUUAAUUUUAAUUUAAUAUUAUUCAAAUUUAUUAAUAUUUAAGUAUUUAUUAUUUUUAUAUUAAAUAUUUAAAAAUAUUUAAUUUUUAUAUACUAAUUAUUAUAAUAUAAUUAAAUAACGUAGUAUUAUACUAUAUUAUAUUUUUAUUUUUAUAUAUUAUUUAAGUAUUUAUUGUUAGUUCUAUUAAAAUUUUAAAUAAUAAUCAAUUUUAUUUAUUAAUUAUUAUAAUAUAAUUAAAUAAUAUAAUAUUAUGUUAUAAUUUUUUAUAUAACAUUUAAGUACUUAUUAUUAGUUAUAUUAGCUUAUUAAAUGUUAUACAUUAAUGUAAUAAUCUGUUUUAGAGCAAACAGAGGAAGGUUACUGUUGGGUUAGUUUUCUGUAUUACCCAUUUGGCAGUUGGCCAUAUCUUCAAGUUCGUUCCUCCAUCUGUCAGUCUGUUUUGGAGCAAACAGAGGAAGGUUACUUUCAUUAAGAGGAAUGAGAGAUUUAAAAUACAAUAUUGCACUCCAAGACUCGAUGCCUAUUAACAAACCAAGGGUUCCCUUUUAUAGGCACAAGGGAACCACUAUUACAUACUGUAGACAUUAUUAAACCUUAUCACAAAGGAAUCUACUUUACAACUCACUCCUUUACUUUAUGUCACACUCACACCAAACCUUAUCACAAAGGAAUCUACUUUACAACUCACUCCUUUACUUUAUGUCACACUCACACUCUUAUCCUUAUCUCUAAGGAUGGUACAUAAUACAUACGAAUACAAAUACACUAUAUUAUUAUCACCAAUGCUUCCACUGUAGGGUCCACUAAGCUUCCGCUAUAGUCCAGAGUUGCCACUGGUUGGCGUGCUACGUCCUGACCGAUGGUUCCAUCGUUCUUCAGAUGCGGCGUCCAUGUCUUCUCCCAUAUUGGGCCACAUUGGGUCUGGCUGUGGGUUUAGUUCUGGCUGGGGCCAUUCUUGGAGGUCUAGCCAGUUGGCCAUAUCUUCAAGUUCGUUCCUCCAUCUGUCAAUAUCUGGGGUAUCCAGAUAGGUGAUGUCUUGUGGCCUGCCAUGUCGGGAAAGGUAGUCAUUAUACUUAUGCUGCAUGUCGGCUGCCUCGUCUUCGUCUCCAUAUAGUUUGAGAUUUCGUAUCUCCUCUCUGUAGUAAAGGUCUGGAGUACUGCAGACUUGUGGGGAUACUGGACUGUGGGUGUUGUACAUGGGAACAGUCCCGUAUACCUCUGCUAAGGCUUGCCUAGCGUUCCAGCAACCAGUCCACAUGGAAUCGAUUUCUUCAUGGGAGUGGUCAUGUUGGACUACCUGUAUAAAAGGCUCUUUGUACCGUCCCCAAAUAUCUGUGAGUUUCACGAUCACUAUUGUAGAGCGGGUGAUGUGAUAACCGUUGAUGAGCUUUAGUGUGAGGACAUCUUCAAAGAUGGGGGCGAACAUUCGAUCGAACCAUCUUCCUUUACCGUAUCUUCGGCUGGUAUGGAUCAGGUUUGGUUCGAAUAGUAUUGCCACGGGGUAUAUGUUGAGCCAGUACCAUGUGAUGUAGUAAGCUUGAGGGGUUAUGUCGCAAAUGACAUAAUGACCCCAAUUGGAGUUCUCAUCUAUCACAUAGUGAAAAGUGCAACCAACCUUGAAGAUAGUUUCAUGCAUCUGGUCCGGGUUUGGAUGCGGAUCGAAGGCUCUUUGGCACUUCUUGUUAUGGGCAGGUCUGUGUUCUUGCAUGGCCAUGAGCUGCCAUACCCGCCAUGCAGAGCCUGAUCUUCCGGAUCUCUCUUGUGAGAGAUGAUUUUCUUAAAGAUGUCUUCCUGUACUUCAGAAGGAAGCCAUGCAAUAAAAGUAUUGAGAUCUUUGAGAAAGUGUGAUAUGUUUUCAUGAGCACUGGAGCUGCCUUCUUCCCAUCGUCUCGGGAGGCUUCUUCUUGUGAUCAUGGUGAUUGGUCUAGAAAGGAAAUCCGCUACAGUAUUGGAUUCUCGUUUGAUGUGUCUGGCUUCGAACUUAAAUCUCGAUAGAGAUUCGGACCACCUUGCUAGUUGUGGAUCUGGGAUUUCUCCUUCUUUUCUUCUGAUCAAUCCCAGGAAGUACUUGUAAUCUGUUUCAAUCACAAAGGGGGUUAGAGAGAGAAAGAAUUGAAACUUCUUGAUCCCAUUGGUGACUGCUAAGACUUCUUUCUUUGAGGAUGGGUAGUGGCUUUGAGCGUCGUUGAACUGGCCAGAUUUAUAGCCACAGACUCUCCUGUUUCCCUCGGAUUCCUCUAUCAAUAGUGCUCCCCAAUAAUGGUCACUAGCAUCUGUCUGUAAGAUGAGCUGUCCUUUGUCAGGUAUCUUUAAUGGUGGAAGUGAUUGGCACUUUUGCUUUAAAUCUGUCACAGCCUUUGUCGCUUCUUCCGACCAUUGUGGGGCACCCUUCUUUAAGUGCUUUGAUAUCUGACUCGUCAUCUUUGACAAGUUCUGCACAUGGUCUGCUGCAUAAUUGAUUAUCCCGAGGAAUUGUUGGAUUUGCUUUCUGGUUGACAGCUGGUCUGGGAACUGGGAUAUUUUUUCAGCAAUAUGUGGCUGAGGAAUGAUGAAUCCCUGUUUGAUGUGUAGUCCCAAAAAGUCUACCUCAUCAAGUCCUAUCUUCAUCUUUGGUUCUGACAAAGCCAACCCAUGUUUAUAGGUAAGAGCUUUGAAUUGAGACAGGUGUUCAGCAUGUUCUUCCUCACUGUUGCUGAAGAUAAGGGCAUCAUCGAUGUAGAUAAGGCAGAAUUCUGAAAUGGAUUUAUACACCUCAUCCAUGCUGUUUUGGAAUUCUGACGGUGCAUUCUUUAGGCCGAAAGGCAUCACAUUCCAUUCAUAAUGCCCAUGGGGGACCACAAAUGCAGUCUUGUGUCUGUCUUCUUCCUUGAUUCCAAUUUGCCAAAAGCCUGACUUCAUGUCAAACUUUGAGAACACCUUUGCUCCAGCAAUGCGUUUCAAAAGAUGUGUCCUCCGUGGAAUCGGGUACCUUAUGUCUUGCAAGCAAUCAUUUAGCUUUCGGUAGGCUAUCACCAAUCGCUUCUUUCCACGUAUUUGCUCUGAAUGCUUGUUGACAUAGAAUGCUGGGCUGGCCCAAUGAGACUUAGAGGGCCUGAUGAGCUUUAGAUCCAUAAGGGCCUGGAUCUCUGAUUUGCACAAUUCUUCGUCAUGGGGCAUGCCUGGAUGAGAGGUUGUCUGGUGAGGCAUGGUCCAUUCAUCUUUAUAUGGUAGAGACACAAAGUGUUGUUCUCUAGCCCAGGACUGGUUUGGUACUUCGGCACAGCAUUCAAGGAGUUCCUUAAUUUGGGGUUCAUAUUUAUGGAUUGGGUAGUUUGUUAGUUUUCCACCCUCUCCAAAAAUGGAUUGCUUUUCAACCCAAGGAACUUGAAAAGUAUGCUGAGAACCAUCGACUGGAUUGCGGAUGGUGUAAGAGAAUCCUUCAGGAAAGAAGGCAAAAGGGGCAACCAGACGGAGAAAGUCGGUGCCAAGGAGGAUAUCUUCGCCGGAGUAAUCGAAGGCAAAGAACCCAUGUUGGAUCAUAAAAGGUUGGAUCUCGAUAGGACGAGUAACCUUUUUGCUGUAGAAGUCCCUGCCACUGGCGGAUCCGAAAGAAACCUUAGUAGGAACAUAGAAUUGUCGGGGAACACAGGCUUCUCGGAUAAAUGAGCACAUAGCUCCUGUGUCAAUGAGAGCAGUAAGAGCUACCUGGCUAUCUUCAGAGGGAUUGAGGAUGACUUUGAUGUGUGGCCGGAAGUGGGAAGACCGUUGUACGGCAGAAGUAACUUGUAGAGGUUCUCGAACAGUGAGAACAGUGUCAUCAUCAUCAUCAUCGGGGGAAUCACCGUCUGAUGUAGAAGCAAUAUCCUCAGAAUCAGAAAGAGGAUAUUCAUCAAGAGUAUAGACAGCACCAAAGGGGCUAUCGGACCAGGUAUAAAUGUCGUCAUCAAAAUCAUCUUGCUGGAUCAGCUGGAUGAGUUUGGCUGGGAGUUUCUUUUUGGAUUUACAUUGUUUAGCAUAGUGGCCUUUCUUGCCACAGAUGAAACAUCUGCCAGAGCCUUUCUUGUGUUUCCGUUUUUUGAUGAAACGGUAUUUUUUCCCUUUGUAUAGUUUCCAGGGGCGUUUUGCUUUCUUUUGUCUGCCAGGAUUACAAGAGCACAUUUUGUCUGUAUGUUGGCAACCAAAUUUGUUUGGUUCCUCAUUACAGAAUUUUUGCAGAGAGGAUUUCUCAAUCUGCUUCAUGUGUCUUCGUAAAUCUUGAGAUCUGCAGUGACUUUGAAUAAGCUCCAUUGCAAUCUGGUAGAGCUGUGCAAGGCUGAGCUGUGCUAAAUCAGUAAUUGCAUCAGCUUUGAAUUUGGCCUCCAUCAUUUCUGCAACUGGGCCUGGCAUGUUUAGCACAAAUGUCCUGUGUAUGGUAUCGGAUUGUUUGUCAAAGAUGUAGUACAACCUUUCCUGCUCCAGGUAGUACUCUUCUAUUUUCCGAACAUCACAACACUUGUUUUGGAGAAAUUGCUUUUCAGCAACCUCUUCUUCUCUUGUGAAAUGGCCUAGAAAAUCCAAGGAUAGAUUUUCAACUAGGCUUCCACAAGGAUCUUCUCUGCUGAAAAUGAAUUGUCGUUGCUCACUAGUAAGCUUUCGUCCCCACCAUCGUCUUAGCGAUCUAACAAAUCCUGCUACCAGCCGUAAUGCGGCUGAUCUUCUACUCAACUGGGGGGCUCUUUGACAUUCUCCUUCGUACCAAGCUACCAUUUUUUCAAAAUAAGCCAGCUUUUCUUUAGGCUUCAUUCCAUCAAUGUUCCAGAACAUCUUUCCGGUUGUGGAAUGUCCGAGUUGUACUCGGGUUUCCCAUUCUUCUCCUUGACUGACUUCAUCUAUAUGAGGGGCACGAUCAGUAGGUGCACCAGCCGGAUUGGAGGAGGCUUCUGUAGCUGCUGGUUCUGUGAAUUCAGGGGCAGUGAAUUGUGUUGUCCUUGAUGGGUUUUGAGUUUGCCUUGUAGGAUCAGAGGUUUGGCCAGGUGUUGUUGUUGAAGCUGCAAAUCUGGUACGUGUAUCCACAUAAAAUGAAUUUGUAGGAUUAGCUCUCUGCAUUAGAAUAGGAAUUGGAGGGUUCUCCAUAGAAGAGAUGCUUGAGCUAUCAUCAGUAUCUGUUUCCUCGUCCCACCCAGUAGCCUUCUGGGGCCAUGGGUACUGAGGAGGAGGAGCAUAGCUUCUCCAAAAUGCUUUCUGGCAAUUCCCAUAUGCAUUUUCCUCCUAGAUGUGCCAUGGUUUUGUAGGCUUGCUCUUCCAGUGCCUGGACACCUUUGGUUGUUGAUAACUCUCCCUUGUCCUUCUCAUUUCAUCUUCGUCUGCUGCUCCAGUCAUCACAAUCAUAUUGACUGACCUGGAGGCACUAUCAUGUAGUUGAGAGAACUGUUGGGUGGUCAUCUUAUGUUGUUUCUUGUUUUUCUUUAGCUAUUUUCUGAUUACAGCUAAGUCAGCAAGAAUCUGUUGUUGAGUGACCAUGAUGUCUCCCAAGGCUUGGUUUUGUUCCACAGCAUUGAUGUUUGACCAGUUGAUUGCCUUCUCAAUUGGGCCGAACUCUGUUGGGUUAGUUUCUGUAUUACCCAUUUGGCAGCAUACAUUCCUCCGGGGAUAUCUUUUAUGAACUCAUUAUCAAGAUCCGGAGUGGUAAUCAUGUUUACUGGACCCAUGAUUCUGCAGGAGGUAGUUCUUCUUGGCAUAUGUGUGCACAAGGAGAGAUGCUUUCCUUCAAGCUGGCAUUUUUCACAUGGAUAUAGAGCUUUAGUCUCUGUGGGGAAAGAGAUUGAUACUCUUCCUUCUUGUAGCCUGCUUAUUUUUGGGACCUCAUGGAUUUGUUGAGGCCUGUUGUUUUUCUCAUACUCAUUAAUCCAUUGAGGAGGAAACAUGAGUUGAUUUUGCCUAUAAGUCCUAGGUUGAAAGACUCUGCCAUCACCAGCAAGAAAUCUGGUAAUAGGCCUGCCAGAGCUACUCAUAGAGAACAGAUGGGUUUGGACCUUAUAGGUCAUAGUGUGGUGGAUUGCCAAGGCAGAUUCAUCAGGUUUCAUGGUUAGACCAUUGACCUGAAUUAAUACCUUAAUGGCAUCUGUGAGGGAUGGCUUGUGUAUAUCAAGGGUAAAAUUUGGCUCAACUUGGAGAACAACAUGGCCUUGGUUGAGUCCUGCUUCAACAGCAGUAAUUAAAGCCUUUUCAAAAGUUUGCCAUCUAGUGUCUAAAAUGACAAUGAAACAUGUGAUAUCUUUUCCAGCUAGGAAUAAAGGUUGUAUCCCUAUCUGGAUUGCUCCAAGGUGUAAUCCCUUGUAUCCCUGAAGUUUAUACCUUGUAAUCUCGCUGGAAGAGAUUAUGGGAAGGUAUGUUUCUUUUGAGCUUGAGGAGAUUGACUGGACAGUGAUUUCAGAGGAUUUGAAGAUGGUUUUAAGCUUAGGUUGUCUUAUGGGGAUUAUGGCUCUUAGGUGGUUAAGAGUAGGGCUAAUAUGGUAGUAUCUGUAAGGAUCUAACGGAUCAAGUCUGAAGGACUGAACCGCUCUCUCACUGUUUUCAUCCUCUUGGGUUUCAUAAUAGAAGUUUACAGAGGGUGAACUAUCAGUUGGUACUCUGAUGGCCGAAGUAGAUGGUUGGUCAGAAAUUGGUUGGUUACUGGAUCUGUUACUGUUUUGGGUUUCCAUGGCUAAAAGAAAUCAGAGGGUUUUCUUUAGGGUGAUAAGCCCUAAAACACGGCACUUCUUGGCCUUCUCAAGGGGGCGCCACACCUUACAGAAUUUACUCUGUAGUGUUUUAGUAUGGAAAGUUUAGACAGGCAGACUAGUAUCCAACAACUUUCUGAUGUGGAGGAUCCGAAGUAUUUCGGCAACCACAGAGCAUAGUAUUGUUGCACACCCAGGGGUUUCCUUUUGGGAAAUAUGGCUCUGAUACCAAUAAAUCUGUUUUGGAGCAAACAGAGGAAGGUUACUUUCAUUAAGAGGAAUGAGAGAUUUAAAAUACAAUAUUGCACUCCAAGACUCGAUGCCUAUUAACAAACCAAGGGUUCCCUUUUAUAGGCACAAGGGAACCACUAUUACAUACUGUAGACAUUAUUAAACCUUAUCACAAAGGAAUCUACUUUACAACUCACUCCUUUACUUUAUGUCACACUCACACCAAACCUUAUCACAAAGGAAUCUACUUUACAACUCACUCCUUUACUUUAUGUCACACUCACACUCUUAUCCUUAUCUCUAAGGAUGGUAUAUAAUACAUACGAAUACAAAUACACUAUAUUAUUAUCACCAAUGCUUCCACUGUAGGGUCCACUAAGCUUCCGCUACAGUCCAGAGUUGCCACUGGUUGGCGUGCUACGUCUUGACCGAUGGUUCCAUCGUUCUUCAGAUGCGGCGUCCAUGUCUUCUCCCAUAUUGGGCCACAUUGGGUCUGGCUGUGGGUUUAGUUCUGGCUGGGGCCAUUCUUGGAGGUCUAGCCAGUUGGCCAUAUCUUCAAGUUCGUUCCUCCAUCUGUCAAUAUCUGGGGUAUCCAGAUAGGUGAUGUCUUGUGGCCUGCCAUGUCGGGAAAGGUAGUCAUUAUACUUAUGCUGCAUGUUGGCUGCCUCGUCUUCGUCUCCAUGUAGUUUGAGAUUUCGUAUCUCCUCUCUGUAGUAAAGGUCUGGAGUACUGCAGACUUGUGGGGAUACUGGACUGUGGGUGUUGUACAUGGGAACAGUCCCGUAUACCUCUGCUAAGGCUUGCCUAGCGUUCCAGCAACCAGUCCACAUGGAAUCGAUUUCUUCAUGGGAGUGGUCAUGUUGGACUACCUGUAUAAAAGGCUCUUUGUACCGUCCCCAAAUAUCUGUGAGUUUCACGAUCACUAUUGUAGAGUGGGUGAUGUGAUAACCGUUGAUGAGCUUUAGUGUGAGGACAUCUUCAAAGAUGGGGGCGAACAUUCGAUCGAACCAUCUUCCUUUACCGUAUCUUCGGCUGGUAUGGAUCAGGUUUGGUUCGAACAGUAUUGCCACGGGGUAUAUGUUGAGCCAGUACCAUGUGAUGUAGUAAGCUUGAGGGGUUAUGUCGCAAAUGACAUAAUGACCCCAAUUGGAGUUCUCAUCUAUCACAUAGUGAAAAGUGCAACCAACCUUGAAGAUAGUUUCAUGCAUCUGGUCCGGGUUUGGAUGCGGAUCGAAGGCUCUUUGGCACUUCUUGUUAUGGGCAGGUCUGUGUUCUUACAUGGCCAUAAUUUUUACUUAUUAAAUGUUAUAAUAUAAUUAAGUAAUACAUUAUUUAAUUAAAAUUAUAAUAUAAUUAAAAUAUUUUAAUAUUAUUGAAUAAUAAAUUGUAAAUUUAUGGACUUAUGUGUUAAUAUUUUAAACUUUAUUACUUUUGUAAUUUUGUAGCAAACAUUGGGGAGUAUAACGUUAAUAACCCAACAAAAACAUCUUAGCCAUUACCCUUGUUCUGAAUAAAAUCUAACGGUGGAUUAGGAAAAGACAAAAGAAUGUGGUAUGUUACGACUGUAGUAAGAUAGUUGGACCCCAAUCUUAAUAACAAAGUUGAAUAAUAAAUCAAGUGAUAUAAAAAAAUCGAGUAAAAUAAUAAUUCAAAAGUAUUAGCAUUUUAACUUAUAGGCUUGUAGUUCAAUAAUAUCUACAAGAGAAUGAGUUUGAGCCACGUAAAAUUUAUUAUAUUUAAAAAAUAGUAAAUUUGUCGAUUGUAUAUUUCUACAUACAGUAAAUAAUUUUUUUUAAAAAUUAAAUAUGGGCAUUUUAGCAUUAACUUAUUUUUAUAUUUUGAUGUUUUUUGGAGUUAUUGCAAUUGCGGCUUCGGGUGAUUCCUUUCAUUCGCUUGCUCUGUAGUAAUAGCUACUACCAUGCAGAAUGGAACUGCGAGAAAUAGAAGAACAGGAAAACGAUGUCGUUUUACCGAAGAAGAAGAAGACGAAGAUGAAACUGAGAAAGAAGAGAAAUCGAGAGGAAAGAAAAGAACAACUCAAAGAAGAAGAAACUGAAGAAUUAUUGCAGGAUCCACUGGAGGCUUUUGGUGGAGACAUAAUGUUGAAGAUACUUCAAAACCUAAAGGCACGCAGUGUAGCACCGACUCUCCUUGUAUCCCGUGCUUGGAACGGCGUUGCUUCAAGCGACACGCUUUGGACUCCCAAGGUUCAUUUCCUUUCCUAUUCUUUUUUUUUUCCCAAUCUUUUUGCCUGGUACUCGAAUUUAGGUUUGUUUCCUUUUUUAAAAUUAAUUAAUUAAUUUAGUGUUUUCUUCGGAGAAUAUGAGAAUUGGGUUUUUUUUUAGUUUCACAAUUGGGUUUUUGUUUUAAGUAUUUUUGGUUGUUUGAAAUAAUCAUAUCAUGAAUACAAUUGAAUUUGAAUUUAAGCUUUUCAUGUGAUCAUCGAGUUUUAUGUUCCUAGUUUACAGGAAUUUGUAUUCAGCGCUGAGCUGAGGUUUUUGUUAAUCUUUUAGAAAGAUAAGAAUAUAAAAUUAAUUAAAUAUUCAUCUUAAAUUGUUAUCCAUGCAUGUGUGGUAGAUGUUUACGAAGAGAUGAGCACAGCUAAGCUCAGUACUGGAUCUAAAUCCAGCUUACAGGAUUUCUUGUCCACCAGGAGCAUUAUAUGAAUACUCGACUUAUUGUUUGACUCAAUUUACUACUCGACUUGGCUUUCUUGACCAACUUGAAUUCGUCUGAGUAUUCUCAAUUUAAGCUGAAUAUUUUUUGUCUCGUAUCUAUUUGUCGUUGCUCACCCCUUAAGGGUAUAUCUAUGUAAAGUGACUUAGUUGGGGUAUAUUGUUGGUAUAUUUUAUUUUAAAAUCCUGGGCCCUAGGAAGCCCUUUCUUAUCAUUGAAACUAGACCUUGGCUAAAUUAUUGGUUUAUUUAAAGGAUUGGGGUAUAUUUUUAUAUAAAACCAAACUGAAUUGUGAAUGCCACUGCACGUUUUUACAGCCUUAUAGCCUAAAUUGCUUAUUCCUUCUGAUUGCAUGAUUUGUGAAGAAUUUUUUUUUUAACUUAACUUCAAUUAUUUUCUCUGCUUUAUUUGAAACCUAACCGGAAAGAAUAUCUACCUUUUUUUAUUUUUUAUUUUCAGUUCUCCAGGUAACUUAAUCGGUCAUGCUUCUACUUUGAAGAGUAACUGAGUACGGAUAAUUUACUUGAGUUUCCAGCUGAUGGCAAUGCUGAAUCCUACAAAGAUAUGGCAAGAGAAAUAUUUGAGAGCUUAUUAACAGUACCGGCCAGGAACACGAUCCUGCAUAGCAACAUCAUAUGCCAAUGAACAGAAAAUGCAUCAAUCAAGUUCGUAGGGGAAAUACUUGAGAUAUGCCCAUCACUACAAACACAAGUUAAUGGCAAAGGUGAUACUCCACUUCACGUUGCGGCAAAAUUCGGCCAUUUUAAUAUAGCGAAUGUUCUUAUGAAAAGAGCAAAAUUAGCUCAACAUGAAGAUGAAGAGCUAGAGAGCGGGUUAGGAGCUGCCAGGCAGAUGAUUAGGAUGACGAAUGAAAAGAAGAAUACUGCAUUGCAGUCUGCACGAGGCAGCGUUUCAUGGCAAAGUGGAUGUGUUGAAAAUACUGACGAGAUAAAUACCUGAAUAUCCAUAUUCUGUAAAUAAUUGCGGCAAAACGCCGCUCCACAUGGCUGCUGAGUAUGAGCACUUUUCUCAUAAGAUGCUAGCCUUAUUAGAAAACUGCACAUCAAUGUCCCAUGAAGGCCCCUACGGAAGGACAGUUUUACGUGAUGCAGUAAUGCAGUUGGAUUUCCGUAAGUUUGAUUAUACCCUUUCAGUGCGAAUUUGAAUAUUUAGAUCUUUUCCUGCAGGUUUUGUUCAUGCUCUUUCAUGCCCACGGGUCUGACAGAAUGAUUCUCAAGUAAUUAUAUUUAGUUGGUCACCAAAUUUAAAUUCUGAGAGGCUAGUGGUGGAUAAACAUUGAAUUUGAAUUAUAAUUUUAUUUAUCUUUUGGCUCUUUACACUCAGAAAUGAAUUAUCAUGCGAUGCAACAAUUAUUUGAAAAAAGGAAGAGUCUGAUCAAAGAAACAGACCAUUAUGGGUAGACUCCAAUUCAUUACGCUGCAUAUCAUAAUCAAUAUCAACAGAUACAUGUGCUAUUAGAAAUUGAUCAAACUGCUUCAAACAUUACUGAACAAAGAUCGAAAGAUGACAGCUCUUCAUUCGGCAAAGGGCCGAGGGCAUGCCAGAACAGUUGAAAGAAUUCUUUCCCUUACACCAGAAUGUUAUGAACUGGUCGAUAACAGGGGAUGGAACUUUUUUCAUUAUGCAAUAGUCAUUUUUUUUUUUUAAUGAUUUAAAAACUCUACUAAAAUAUCCGUUAGCGAGGAGUCUUAUAAAUGAGGGGGAUGCCAAGGAGAACUCUAUAUGAUUAGGAAGACUCGAACUAACUAUAGGCAAAAUGUUAGUGUUAGACACAUUUUGAAAUAUGGCUAUCCUAUCCUGAGCUCAAGGUAAUUAAUUUGUUAAUUCUUUCAACUUAUAAAUCCAGCUUUCUUUUUCAUUACUUUAUUAUUAUUAAUUUUUUUAGUUUAUGCAAUUAAUUCAUGAGUGAUGCUACACAUCCCAAAUUUUUUAUCCCAAUAAGUUAUCCCAAAUGAUGUGUCAUUUAUCAAUUGGUUGGUGAAAUAAUACAAUUAAUUCACUUGAAUUUUAUAAAGAAUUAUCAACCACUCAAUUAAUGACACAUCAUUUGGGAUAACUUUUUAAGAUAAAAAAUUUGGGAUGUGUAGCAUUACUGUUAAUUCAUAUUCACACUCAAUUUACAGGAGGAAGAAUUUUCCAAAGAUGUUGGCAGAGGACAAUAUCAAGAUGGUGCUAUAUUCAUGACGACAGUGCUAAAUUGCUAGGACCAGAUCCAAAUGCAGUGGCACGUGGGGUAGUGGCUCGACCGGGUUAGCCCAAAAAAUAAUUCAAUAUCCCUUAAAUUUUAUGGUAUUUUUAUUUUUAAAUCUUUUUCUUUCGUGUCCUUAAAUCAAUCUUUAUUAAAAUAACUUAAAUAUAUUUAUAGUUAAGUUAUUCUGGUUUGGACCCUUUAAAAUUCAAUAUUAAAAUAGUAAUUUGUCUUUUUACCAACUUUCUUUUGAGCAAGUUUCUUGAUGUUGCAAUGUCUUUUGAAUUGUUUUUUUUUUUUGGUUACGUUCACACAGAUAAAUACAAUAAAUUCAUAAUCUAACCCUUCCUGGUCAAAAGACUAUCUUGACGAUCCUAAAUAUGAUUACAAAUAUAUGACAGCGUCCGAUGUUGUAGUAUAGUGAAAAUUACCAUUUAGGACAAUGCUUUGCACCCGCCUUGAGGAUUUUUCUCUGAGUUCGUAUUUGUUGGUCCGAUAACAAAUUCUUCGUUGUAGGAAGCAACUAUUUGGUUUUCCGGCUGCAGCCACAAGGUUAUGAUUGUAACUUUUUUUUUUAAAUAACAAAGAAUUCUAUUGUCAAGCUAUUGUUCAUCACCGUUGAGGUUUUUGAUGGGUGUUGUUGUUCAGGCUGAGCUGGUCUUUCUAAAAAGAAAAUUGUUUUUUUUUUCAUAAAAUAAAGAUAUUAUUCAUAAACGGUUUCUUACUUACCGCUUUUUUUUUUUUUUGGUUAGCCUCCUUAAAGGCAAUCUUUAUGUCUUGAAAUUUAUAUGAAUUUAAGCAAAUCUUAAUUAAAAAAGAGAGUUAGUAAUGAAUAAAUUUGCAAUUUUGGAAGAAAUUAAAUAUAAAAAUUUCAUUGUUAAAUGCAUUCCGUGGAUUCUUCGUUUUCUUGGAUGGGAAUCGAGGAUAGUAGAAUUUUUUAAAUAUUCUUAGGCUAAAGCCAUAUUGAUAAUAUUUCAUUUUUUUGUUUUAAGAUUUCUUUAGUAUACACCAACUUAAAAUUAAAAUUAAAAAAAAUUUCAACUUGUCACUAGCUAAUUCAAAAAAAAUUAUGUUUAUUAGUAUAAAUUUUAUCCCAAAUUAUCAGAUAAUGAUUUCAACCUAGGAUGGCCUCUUAAAACUUGCUUGAGCUUCCUUUUUAUUGGAUGAACUCCCGAUGUGGACUUCUCAUGUUGUGCCUUUCAUUUUCAAGUUUAAUUUUGCUCAGUUGAAAUUUCUUCAAAGAGAUGUCCACUUAUUUAGUGAUGAAAAUGAUCUUGAUAAGAUAAUGCCCUACAAACAUAAGAAAAACAGUCAAAGGGCCAGCUUUAAGGACGUAGACACUCUAGCGAUCAAGUUAAUCAUUGAAUUUUUAAAAAUCUAAAGUUCAUAGUGUGAAAAUUUAGAGAAAUAAAGCCUAGAGAGAGAAAGUCUUCUCUAGCCACUCUUCCCCAAGAUCUUUUUGUCUAAGGUCACUUUCUUCCAAGCAGUCCCUAUACCUCUCUAGAGGAGCCAGAAUAAACUUCAUCGUCACUAGGAUUUCUUGAGUUCUCCCUUUCCUCAACUUGAGCUUGGAACUAAUAAAAAAUUCUAUCAAAGUUCGAAGCUAAUGAAUCCACUUUACUUUGGAUCAAGCUUGCCCUUGUCGUUAGGCAUCAUGAUGUGGAUUAGGAAAAGGAUGAACGAGUACCAUGGCUUCAAAUGAUGAAUCCAUCAGUGGUCUUCUUCGUUGAAAAUAGGCUUCCUUAACCCUAGAACUCAAAGAUUCAAACACAGGGUCAUGAUACUCGUAGCUCAAAUCCAUGCUCACAGUUCCAAGACUUUUAGUCGGGAGUUCUCGUAGACAACGCCAAUUUUGUUGAUAAAAAUUUUGUCCCAAUUUAUAAAAUGGCAAUUUCAUGAGCUUCCUCUUUACUGGAUCAAACUAUGUUGAACUCUCAAUGUGGGCUUCUUAUGUUGUGCCUUUCAUUUUCAAAUUCAAUUGUACUCAUUUAAAUUUUCUCUUAAGAGUUACCUGCUUCCUUAUGUGACGAGGAUGACCUUAAUUAGAUAAUGCUCUAUAAAUAUAAGUAAAAUAGUCAAAGGCUUGCCUCACCAGCGUAAACCCUUUGAUGAUCAAGUCGAUCACCAAAUUUUUAGAGAGAAAAGUUUAGAGUGAGAAAAUUUGGAGAUAUUAUGCCUAGAUAGAGAGAGUCACUAUUUAUCCUCUUGAGUGAUUUUUGGCUUAUCUUUGAAAAAAGAUGGGAACUUAUAUUUGUAAAUGACUUUGAUUUGACUUGAGUCCUUAUUGUAUUGACGACAAAUGUCAUUGUCUUUAUAACACCAGGCAACACUUGUCUUCUUGCGACCAUGCCAUGUAACACUUGGACAUACAACUUUGUCCUCAUAUCAAAAGAGGAAGUUUCUCCAUCCUUUUUGUUUGGUAGAGGAUAUGGUAUCAUUAUGCUUAGUUUUCAAAGGAAGAGAUGUUUUUAUCAUAGGUUUUCAACCUAGAAGUUUGUCUAAGGAGGUUUAUCUUUAGGAAAUUUGUCCUAAGAAGUUUUUUUCUAGAUAAAUUGUCCUAUGAUCAUGGGAUCUUAAGAACCUAAGAGUUUAUUCUAGGUAGCAUGUCUCCUAAAACCUAUAAGACUUAUCUUAAGAGGUUUUUCCCAUAAUCUAGGAAUCUAAAAGGUUUAUUUUGUUUCCUCUUAAUUAGUUGGUAAAACUAUAAAUGAAAGAGCGAGACAGAGAACAUUGAAGCAAAACCAUCCAUCCAAUUACACCAACAGAACAAGAACCUUUCAUUGUUAAAAUGUGAGUUGCUAGUGUUAUAUAUAUAUAUAUAUAUAUCUUCACUUUUAAUUCAUUCAACGUAUAAGAAUAUAAUAGUGAGUCUAUCACGAACAAUUACACAAAUAUUUGGAUUAAUGUACAGAUAACCCAUUGCAGUCAACAGAUAAACAAUCAUUGAUUUCUUAUUCUAAUGUGUUGUGAAUAGUAUCAGUAUACUAAAGAAUCAUGUAAUGAUACAGUCUUUUAAUGUCGUACACGAUCAAUUCAAACGUCGCCAGGAAAAUUUUAUUCUUGCUAGUUAAAUUAUAAAUUUGCUUCCAUAAGACUAAUUAAAUACAUUAAAUUUAGGUUCAAAAAACAACCAGCAAUGUAACAGAUCAACGAUAGAAAAUCAUUUACGGUCUCUUAUUUGCCAAAUCUGAUCCUUGUAGACAUAAAAUCUGAAAGACAACCAACACAGCAACACAAACAAAGCCAAAUGAACACAAGCCACCACAGAGGGUGGUGGGAACAGUCGCCAUAUCCGUGGAACAAAAAAUCCACAGAUCUAUGGAUAUAUUGAAUUAUACCACUAAGUCAUUUUACAUAAUUAUACUCAAAAGGUAAAAAUAUUCUCCACUUUAUUGUCAAUUUUCAUAACAAAGUUGAAUAAUAAAUCGAAUUUUGGUUUGUAGGCUUAUAAUUCAAUAGUGCUUACAAAUAUAAUAUAAAACUUAUGAAUCAAUAUUAAGUGUAAAAUAAAAAUAAAAUAUAUAAAUAAAAUAUAGGACCUGUAAAUAGAAGGUAAACAUGUAAAUUAAUAUAAGAAUUAUUGAAAAAAAUAAAAACUUAAAAAUGUAAGAUCAAACCUCAUUUUAAUAAUGAUUACCUUAUACAUUUGUUGAUUUAUUUUUUUUUAAACUGAAUAAUGAUAGUUUUGGGUUUAUGUAAUAUAUAUGAUGAUAUAUGUCGAAAUUUUAUUAAGGAUAAAACUUAAUUUUAAAAUCGGAUUUUGAAAAACUCUUCUUUUCAUAUUUUUCAAAGUUGCUCGUAGGAUAAGGUGAUUUUUCAUCAUUUUAAAUAUUCUUGAUAACAACCACAAAUGAUCUUUAAAUACAAGUAAGAAGCAAAUUUUAAAAUUACAUAAAAUAUAUAUAAAACAUAAAAUUAGAUACAAUUUUAUUGAUAAUAUUGAAAAAUGCACUCUCAGAAUUUCAAAGAAUUAUGAAUGAUAUUUAUAAUUCUUUUUUUGAAUUUUGCAUUGUUUAUAUCGAUGAUGUGCUGAUUUUUUCUCAAUCAAUUGAGCAACAUUUCAAACAUUUAAAGACUUUUUAUUUGGCAACUAGAAAAGCUGGCCUAGCCAUUUCUAGUUCUAAAGUUUCUUUAUUCCAAACUAAAGUCAGGUUUCUUGGUCACUACAUCUCAAAAGGAACCAUUACUCCCAUUGAAAGGUCCCUUGCUUUUACUGACAAGUUUCCUGAUAAAAUCCUUGAUAAAACCCAAUUGCAGAGAUUUUUGGGUAGUCUAAAUUAUGUUCUUGAUUUCUGUCCUAACAUCAAUAGGAUUGCCAAGCCACUGCAUGAUAGGUUAAAGAAAAAUCAUGUUGCAUGGUCGGAAGAACAUACUAAAAUUGUUAAACAAAUAAAGAACACAAUUAAAAACAUUCCAUGUUUAUUUCUUGCAAAUCCUGCAUUACCUAAGAUUGUUGAAACUGAUGCAUCCAAUUUAGGUUAUGGUGGGAUAUUAAAGCAAGUCGACAAUAACAAAGAACAAAUAGUACAAUAUGUUUCUGCACAUUGGAAUGAAUGCCAGCAAAACUAUUCUACUAUUAAAAAAGAAAUUUUAUCAAUUGUCCUAUGCAUUUCCAAAUUUCAAAGCGAUUUAUUAAAUCAAAAAUUUUUGCUUAGAAUUGACUGCAAGGCUGCAAAACAUGUUUUGGAAAAAGAUGUACAGAACAUUGCAUCAAAACAGAUUUUUGCACGUUGGCAAGCUAUUUUAAGUAUUUUUGAUUUUGAGAUUGUGUUUAUUAAAGGCGACACAAAUUCUCUCCCUGAUUUUCUAACUAGGGAAUUUCUUCAAAACAGAUAAUGCCGCCCAAAAGAAGAGAUAAAGGGAAAGGGAUCUUCACAGACCCUGUGUCCCAAACUCCAUCUAAAGCCUCCCAAUCUUCUCCACCUAAAGAAAAAUUACUUUCUUCUGCUAUGCCAAUUAAGUCUUGGAUUGACACAAUAGAAGAACAAGCUGCUCAAGAAGCCCAGUCUAAAGCACUUGCCUCCCAGGAGCAGAUAAAUGAAUGGAUGAAAUCCAUUUCUAAAUCCCCUGAGCUUAUGCUUGCCUUACAAAGCUUUUCUCAAAGUCAGAUUUCUCCUAAAGAAGAAAAAUCCAUUUCUAAAGAAAUUUCUAAAGCUUCUUCACAAAAUGUGAUUCUUUCUGGUGAAAGUUCAUCUUCUCAGAUUGUUCUUUCACAAACAAAGCUUACAAAGAAAACUUCGGAUUAGUUUAAUAAAACCCAUUUCCAAAAUAUUUUAUCCAUGGAAGACUAAUUUUAUCAUACUGAUCCAUUUCAAGCAAUUUUAAAGAUUUUCCCCAAAGGUUGGUUUUUCAAACCAUGGGAUUUAUCCAAAUCCCAGCCUUAUUAUCAAAGCAUUUUGGAAUUCACUGAAUCACUAAAAUUCAAACAUUUCUUCCUUAGUGAGUCCCAUUCUGAGCCUGCCUAUUCUACGGCAACCAUUAUAAAAGUUUUGAGCCCAAAACAAUGGGGUGAUCUACUCCACAAAUCUAAAGCUUUUCCUCUAAAUUUUCAAAACAAUAUGAACCAUAGCCUAUCUUUCUCCUAUUGGGAUUACCAACAGGCUUGGUUUAAUACCUUUUUCAUACAAAACCCCAAAAAGACCCAUUCAUGGUUAUUUUUCUUCAAUUCUAAAAUAACUGUGCAAAGCCUACCAAACUGAUUUCAACAGUGGUGGAAUUAUUUCGAGCCAUGCCCAGACAUUCUCACUUCAAAUGCCAUUCACUGUUUAAAUCUCUUCAAAGCCCAUCAUGUCCCUUCAGAAUCCGAGAAAAGGUUUCCUCUGUUUCUCUAUUUUUGUACAAAUUUAUUUCUUCCCUGGGUUUGGAUGUGGAACUUUUGAUAUCACACCCAAGAAGCCCAACUCAUCCUACAAAGAACUUUCAAAGUAAAAUGGUGGUCCAAAUUUGACGAAUAGUCAAAAUUGACUGAAGCCAUCGUCCAAAAAUGGCUUUCCUCAAAAGGCCUUCUAACCCCAAGUAUUAAAGAAGUUAAAGCCCAAGGAACUUUCUUAACUCAAAAAUCCAAAGCCCAAUCUCUUUUGGCCAAUGCCAAAACAGAAGACGAGUAUUUUAAAGUCAUGCAACAGCUCCUCGUGUCCAGAUCAGAGCCUUCUGUCGCCAGCUCAUCUGAUCAUGACAGUGCCGAGCCUUUCAUUUCCCUUGGAGACGACAACGAAGAUGACUGCUUCGGAAUCUUCCCUCCAAUAAAGCAUUAAAGCUUAUGAAAAAAAAAGAAAAAAAAGAGUCAUUUUGUUGUAAUUUCUCUGCAAUUUAUAAAUUUGUUCUAAUUUCUCUGUAAUUUAUAUUUUGUAAAUUUGAAUUAGAGUCAGAAGACUCAACAAGCAAAGGAGUUAUUUUGGAAAGGACUUCUUCAUCAAGAUUAAUCUCUUGAAGUCUCCUAUUUAUCCUGCAGUAUUUUACAGUGUGUCCUUUCUUGCCACAUUUAAAACAUGUAGCUUCUUUAUAAUUGAAAGAGGUUUUUGGAUUAGAAGAGGAAGAGGGUUUAGUUUUAAAAUCCUUUCUUUUAGAGAAAUGAGACUUUUUAUAAGGUCUCGAGGACUUCUUAUAAAAAGGUUAUCUAAAAUCUGAUAAGGGCUUUCUAAGAGUUUUAGACUUUAAAUGUUUUUUGUAAGGUCUGGAGGAACACUUACCAUUACAGUCUUUUGAAGUGGAAGACUAAACAUCAAAUCCAAAGUUGGUACAGAUCUGUUGGUACGCGGCGUUGUUCUACCAGAUCGAUGUAGAACUUAAUAUGCCUUUGGAACCAGAUCUGACUCAGAACAGAUCAAUAUCCCGCACGUUCUGGUUUCCAGCCUAUAUACCAACAAGCAUACAGGGGCUCAUGGAUAGUACUAGAUCUGGAUCCCAGAAAUAACACUCUGAUUGAAUGGAGGGAGAAGAGAAAUGGUGGUCCAAAUUCCCAAUUGUAAGGAAGAUCUGGUUCUAAGUCAGAUCUGGUUCCAAAGGCAGAUUAAGUUCUGCAUCGAUCUAGUAGAACAACGCCAUGUACCAACAGAUCUAUACCAACUUUGGAUUUGAUGUUUAGUCUUCCACUUCAAAAGACUGUAAUGGUAAGUGUUCCUCCAGACCUUACAAAAAACAUUUAAAGUCUAAAACUCUUAGAAAGCCCUUAUCAGAUUUUAGAUAACCUUUUUAUAAGAAGUCCUCGAGACCUUAUAAAAAGUCUCAUUUCUCUAAAAGAAAGGAUUUUAAAACUAAACCCUCUUCCUCUUCUAAUCCAAAAACCUCUUUCAAUUAUAAAGAAGCUACAUGUUUUAAAUGUGGCAAGAAAGGACACACUGUAAAAUACUGCAGGAUAAAUAGGAGACUUCAAGAGAUUAAUCUUGAUGAAGAAGUCCUUUCCAAAAUAACUCCUUUGCUUGUUGAGUCUUCUGACUCUAAUUCAAAUUUCUCCUUGAUAGGAGAUAGUGAUCCUUUACAAGUCGAUGAGUUGAUUGACUCAGAAACAUCUGUAUUAAGUGAUUCUGAUUCAGAAACCUUUUUAAAGAAGAUUAAUGUUUUGACCAAAGAACAAGAAACUUUUCUUGAACUUGUAAAACAUAUUUCAGACCCUAUCCUUCAAAAGGAAUACCUUGACAAACUUUUAAAGACUCUAUAAUUAAAAGACAAACCAGAAACCUCUAAAACUCCAAUCAUUAAAAAGAAUGCUUAUGAUCUUACGGAAAUUUUGGAUAAACAGAAAACAAAGAAAGCCACUCCAAACAUCCAAGAUCUCUAAAAGGAAAUUAAGUAAAUUAAACUUGAAAUCAAAGAAUUAAAAGAAAAAUAGAAAAAUGACUCAGAAACUAUCCAGCUUUUGUUACAAAAACAACUCGAAGACAAUUCUGAUCAAGAAUCAAACUCUGGUGAGGAAAAUGGACAACAACUUGAAAACAUCGAAUCAAUCCCUAAUGAUUUUCUUUUUGUUUUAAAAUAAAUCACCACUAGAAAAUAUUUGAUUAAAAUCACUUUAAAAUUUUCUAAAGAUUUCGAAAUUGACACCAUUGCUUUCUUUGACACUGGUGCUGAUUUAAACUGUAUCAAAGCAGAUAUUGUUCCAAAGAAAUUCCAUGAAAAGACUAAUGAAAGGCUUUCUGCAGCAAACAAUUCAAAGUUGAACAUCAAAUCCAAAGUUGAUGCCUCAAUUCAUAACGAUGGUUUUGAAUUUAGGACUUCAUUUCUUCUAACAAAUGAUAUUCAUCAUGCUGUUAUUCUAGGAACGCCUUUCAUAAACCUCAUUACUCCUUAUAAUGUCAAUUAUGAUAGUAUAUCUUUUAAAGCAAAAAAGAAAAAAUUAAUUUUUCCUUUUAUUGAAAAACCUAAAACUAGGAAUUUGAAUAUUGUUAAAGCCUGUUCUAUUUACCAGAACCAAAUAAAUGUUUUGCUCAAAACAAAACAAACUGAUUUAGCUUGUUUACAGAAGGAUUUGAGUUUACACAGAAUUGAAAACCAAUUAAAGAAUGAGUUCAUACAAAGAAAAAUUUCCGAUUUCAAAAAUCUUAUUGAGAAAGAAAUAUGUGCUGAUUUACCAAGUGAUUUUUGGAACCGGAAACAACAUUUGGUUGAUCUGCCUUAUGAAAAUUCUUUUGAUGAAAGACAAAUCCCUACAAAAGCCAUCCUAUUCAAAUGAAUAUGGAUCUAGAAAAAUAUUGUCAACAAAAAAUCAAAGAUUUAGAAUCUAAAGGACUCAUUGUCAAAUCUAGGUCUCCUUGGUCUUGUGCCGCUUUCUAUGUCAAUAAAAAUUCUGAAAUAGAAAGAGGAACUCCUAGAUUGGUGAUAAAUUAUAAACCUCUUAAUAAAGCAUUAAAAUGGAUUAGGUAUCCUAUACCUAAUAAAAAAGAUUUGCUUCAAAAACUACAUUUUGCAUUCAUAUUUUUCAAAUUUGAUAUGAAAUCUGGUUUUUGGCAAAUCCAAAUUCAUCCUAAAGAUCGUUACAAAACUACUUUUACUGUUCCAUUUGGACAGUACGAAUGGACAGUAAUGCCUUUUGGUUUGAUAAGAUUGUGUUUGAUAAGUGUUCCUCCAGACCUUACAAAAAACAUUUCUAGUCAGCUUCUGUUUUGGCAUUUGGAUUUUAAUGCUCUGAUACCAUAAUGACCUAGCGAUCGUGGAGUGUGUGUCGUGUUCAAAAUUAAAUCCAAAUUAAAAAAAAAUAGAUCUGUUGGUACGUGGCGUUGUUCUACCAGAUCGAUGCAGAACUUAAUCUGCCUUUGUAACCAGAUCUGACUUAGAAAAGAAUGACCCAGCGAUCGUGGAGUGUGUGUCGUGUUUAAAAUUAAAUCCAAAUUAAAAACAAACAGAUCUGUUGGUACGUGGCGUUGUUCUACCAGAUCAAUGCAGAACUUAAUCUGCCUUUGGAACCAGAUCUGACUUAGAACAGAUCAAUAUAGAUAUACCAACAAGCAUACAGGGGCUCAUAGAUAGUACUAGAUAUGGAUCCCAGAAAUAGCACUCUGAUUGAAUGGAGGGAGAAGAGCAAAUACAACUAAGGGCAAAGAUCCGCUCUCUAUGCCUUAGAGGAGAACGUAGCAGUUUUUAUGGUAGGAUUCUGAUAUAGAAGAUCAGCCUGCAGAGCAUGCUUUGAAAUACAAAAUUUAAAAAUGGAAACUUUAAAUUGAACUACAAAUUAAAUUACAAAUUCUUUAAAAUAAAUAUUAUCGAAUGCUUACAUGAGAUUUUUCGAUCCGAAGGCUUUACAAACGGGAAGAUGUUUUACAAAAGAAGAAAGGAAAAUCAGAAGACAGGAAAUUUUUCCUCUAUGUCUUCAGUUCAUCUUUUCCUUUUGAGAGAGAGAGCUAAUAGAAUUCUUCGAAUGGAAAAGAAAAAAGUGAUGAGUCUUAGUCUUCAUUCACUCUUUUAUACAAGAUUGCUUUACAAAAGAAAAUCGAUAAUUGGUCUUCACAUGCGGAUGGCUUUUUCUCUCACUUUUUUCUAUAGCUUUACAUGCGGAGACAGCAUAAAUUGCUUUUGAAGAUGCUUCACGUGAGUGGGUCCUUGGACUUUUGCAAAAGGUCAUCACGAGGAGCGGAUGCUUUAAGGGGCAAUAGAUAUACCUUUUGAAAACAUGGCACAUGUGCGGCUACACUUGUGUCUCGAAAGACGUUUUCAAAAGAUAUGGUGAUCAGUUGCUGGUAGGAUUCUUUUGUUGACUUUUGAACGAGGUAAUAAAGGCUUUAAAGAAAAUACAAGGAGUAAAUAAGAAUUACAGAGGAUUACAACAAAUUUACAAAAUAUAAAUUACAGAGUAAUUAGAACAAAUUUAUAAAUUACAGAGAAAUGACAACAAAAUGACUUUUUUUUUCUUUUUUUUUUCACAAGCUUUAAUGCUUUAUUGGAGGGAAGAUUCCGAAGCGGUCAUCUUCAUUGUCGUCUCCAAGGGAAAUGAAAGGCUCGGCACUGUCAUGAUCAGAUGAGCUGGCGACAUAAGGCUCUGAUCUGGACGCGAGGAGCUGUUGCAUGACUUUAAAAUACUCGUCUUUUGUUUUGGCAUUGGCCAAAAGAGAUUGGGCUUUAGAUUUUUUAGUUAAGAAAGUUCCUUGGGCUUUAACUUCUUUAAUACUUGGGGUUAGAAGGCCUUUUGAGGAAAGCCAUUUUUGGAUGAUGGCUUCAGUCAAUUUUGACUGUUCGUCAAAUUUGGACCACCAUUUUACUUUGAAAGUUCUUUGUAGGAUGAGUUGGGCUUCUUGGGUGUGAUAUCGAAAGUUCCACAUCCAAACCCAGGGAAGAAAGAAAUUUGUACAAAAACAGAGAAAGGGAGGAAACCUUUUCUCGAAUUCUGAAGGGACAUAAUGGGCUUUGAAGAGAUUUAAACAGUGAAUGGCAUUUGAAGUGAGAAUGUCUGGGCAUGGCCCGAAAUAAUUCUACCACUGUUGAAACCAAUUUGGUAGGCUUUGCACAGUUAUUUUAGAAUUGAAGAAAAAUAACCAUGAAUGGGUCUUUUUGGGGUUUUGUAUGAAAAAGGUAUUAAACCAAGCCUGUUGGUAAUCCCAAUAGGAGAAAGAUAGGCUAUGGUUCAUAUUGUUUUGAAAAUUUAGAGGAAAAGCUUUAGAUUUGUGGAGUAGAUCACCCCAUUGUUUUGGGCUCAAAACUUUUAUAAUGGUUGCCGUAGAAUAGGCAGGCUCAGAAUGGGACUCACUGAGAAAGAAAUGUUUGAAUUUUACUGAUUCAGUGAAUUCCAAAAUGCUUUGAUAAUAAGGUUGGGGUUUGGAUAAAUCCCAUGGUUUGAAAAACCAGCCUUUGGGGAAAAUCUUUAAAAUUACUUGAAAUGGAUCAGUAUGAUAAAAUUCAUUUUCCAUGGAUAAAAUAUUUUGGAAAUGAGUUUUAUUAAACCAAUCCGAAGUUUUCUUUGUAAGCUUUGUUUGUGAAAGAACAAUUUGAGAAGAUGAACUUUCACCAGAAAGAAUCACAUUUUGUGAAGAAUCUUUAGAAAUUUCUUUAGAAAUGGAUUUUUCUUCUUUAGGAGAAAUCUGACUUUGAGAAAAGCUUUGUAAGGCAAGUAUAAGCUCAGAGGAUUUAGAAAUGGAUUUCAUCCAAUCAUUUACCUGCUCCUGGGAGGCAAGUGCUUUAGACUGGGCUUCUUGAGCAGCUUGUUCUUCUAUUGUGUCAAUCCAAGACUUAAUGGGCAUAGCAGAAGAAAGCAAUUUUCCUUUAGGUGGAGAAGAUUGGGAGGCUUUAGAUGGUGUUUGGGACACAGGGUUUGUGAGGAUCCUUUUCCCUUUCUCUCUUCUUUUGGGCGGCUUUAUCUGGUUUGAAAAAAUUCCCUGGUUAGAAAAUCAGGGAGAGAAUUUGUAUCGCCUUUAAUAAACACAAUCUCAAAAUCAAAAAUACUUAAAAUAGCUUGCUAACAUGCAAAAAUCUGUUUUGAUGCAAUGUUCUAUCCAUCUUUUUCCAAAACAUGUUUUGCAGCCUUGCAGUCAAUUCUAAGCAAAAAUUUUUGAUUUAAUAAAUCGCUUUGAAAUUUGGAAAUGCAUAGGACAAUUGAUAAAAUAUCUUUUUUAAUAGUAGAAUAGUUUUGCUGGCAUUCAUUCCAAUGUGCAGAAAUAUAUUGUACUAUUUGUUCUUUGUUAUUGUCGACUUGCUUUAAUAUCCCACCAUAACCUAAAUUGGAUGCAUCAGUUUCAACAAUCUUAGGUAAUGCAGGAUUUGCAAGAAAUAAACAUGGAAUGUUUUUAACUGUGUUCUUUAUUUGUUUAACAAUUUUAGUAUGUUCUUCUAACCAUGCAACAAGGUUUUUCUUUAACCUAUCAUGCAGUGGCUUGGCAAUCCUAUUGAUGUUAGGAUAGAAAUCAAGAACAUAAUUUAGACUACUCAAAAACUCUACAAUUGAGUUUCAUCAAGGAUUUUAUCAGGAAACUUGUCAAUAAAAGCAAUAGACCUUUCAAUGGGAGUAAUGGGUCCUUUUGAGAUGUAGUGACCAAGAAACCUGACUUUAGUUUGGAAUAAAGAAACUUUAGAACUAGAAAUGGCUAGGCCAGCUUUUCUAGUUGCCAAAUAAAAAGUCUUUAAAUGUUUGAAAUGUUGCUCAAUUGAUUGAGAAAAAAUCAGCACAUCAUCGAUAUAAACAAUGCAAAAUUCAGAAAAAGGAUUAUAAAUAUCAUUCAUAAUUCUUUGAAAUUCGGAGGGUGCAUUUUUCAAACCAAAAGGCAUUACUGUCCAUUCGUAUUGUCCAAAUGUAACAGUGAAAGCAGUUUUGUAACGAUCUUUAGGAUGAAUUUGGAUUUGCCAAAAACCAGAUUUCAUAUCAAAUUUGGAAAAUAUGAAUGUAGAAUUUAGUUUUUGAAGCAAAUCUUUUUUAUUAGGUAUAAGAUACCUAAUCCAUUUUAAUGCUUUAUUAAGAGGUUUAUAAUUUAUCACCAAUCUUAGGGUUCCUCUUUCUAUUUCAGAAUUUUUAUUGACAUAGAAAGCGGCACAAGACCAAGGAGACCUAGAUUUGACAAUGAGUCCUUUAGAUUCUAAAUCUUUGAUUUCUUGUUGACAAUGUUUUUCUAGAUCCAUAUUCAUUUGAAUAGGACGGGCUUUUGUAGGGAUUUGUCUUUCAUCAAAAGAAUUUUCAUAAGGCAAAUCAACCAAAUGUUGUUUUCGGUUCCAAAAAGCACUUGGUAAAUUAGCACAUAUUUCUUUCUCAAUAAGAUUUUUGAAAUCAGAAAUUUUUCUUUGUAUGAACUCAUUCUUUAAUUGGUUUUCAAUUCUGUGUAAACUCAAAUCCUUCUAUAAACAAGCUAAAUCAGUUUGUUUUGUUUUGAGCAAAACAUUUAUUUGGUUCUGGUACACAGAACAGGCUUUAACAAUAUUCAAAUUCCUAGUUUUAGGUUUUUCAAUAAAAGGAAAAAUUAAUUUUUUUCUUUUUUGCUUUAAAAGAUAUACUAUCGUAAUUGACAGUAUAAGGAGUAAUGAGGUUUAUGAAAGGAGUUCCUAGAAUAACAGCAUGAUGAAUAUCAUUUGUCAGAAGAAAGAAAGUCCUAAAUUCAAAACCAUCGUUAUGAAUUGAGACAUCAACUUUGGAUUUGAUGUUCAACUUUGAAUUGUUUGCUGCAGAAAGCCUUUCAUUAGUCUUUUCAUGGAAUUUCUUUGUAACAAUAUCUGCUUUGAUACAGUUUAAAUCAGCACCAGUGUCAAAGAGAGCAAUGGUGUCAAUUUCGAAAUCUUUAGAAAAUUUUAAAGUGAUUUUAAUCAAAUAUUUUCUAGUGGUGAUUUGUUUUAAAACAAAAAGACAAUCAUUGGGGAUUGAUUCGAUGUUUUCAAGUUGUUGUCCAUUUUCCUCACCAGAGUUUGAUUCUUGAUCAGAAUUGUCUUCCAGUUGUUUUUGUAACAAAAGCUAGAUAGUUUCUGAGUUAUUUUUCUGUUUGUCUUUUAAUUCUUUGAUUUCAAGUUUAAUUUCCUUAAUUUCCUUUUGGAGAUCUUGGAUGUUUGGAGUGACUUUCUUUGUUUUCUGUUUAUCCAAAAUUUCCGUUAGAUCAUAAGCAUUCUUUUUAAUGAUUGGAGUUUUAGAGGUUUCUGGUUUGUCUUUUAAUUCUAGAGUCUUUAAAAGUUUGUCAAGGUAUUCCUUUUGAAGGAUAGGGUCUGAAGUAUGUUUUACAAGUUCAAGAAAAGUUUCUUGUUCUUUGGUCAAAACAUUAAUCUUCUUUAAAAAGGUUUCUGAAUCAGAAUCACUUGAUACAGAUGUUUCUGAGUCAAUCAACUCAUCGACUUGUAAAGGAUCACUGUCUCCUGUCAAGGAGAAAUUUGAAUUAGAGUUAGAAGACUCAACAAGCAAAGGAGUUAUUUUGGAAAGGACUUCUUCAUCAAGAUUAAUCUCUUGAAGUCUCCUAUUUAUCCUGCAGUAUUUUGUAGUGUGUCCUUUCUUGCCACAUUUAAAACAUGCAGCUUCUUUAUAAUUGAAAGAGGUUUUUGGAUUAGAAAAGGAAGAGGGUUUAGUUUUAAAUCCUUUCUUUUAGAGAAAUGAGACUUUUUAUAAGGUCUCGAGGACUUCUUAUAAAAAGGUUCUCUAAAAUCUGGUAAGGGCUUUCUAAGAGUUUUAGACUUGUAAUGUUUUUUGUAAGGUCUGGAGGAACACUUACCAUGACAGUCUUUUGAAGUGGAAGUUUUAAAGGGGUCAUAAUUGAAUUGUUUACAGAAACUGCAUAAUUCUUGCUUAGACUUCCUAAGCUCCCAUUUUAGACGCUUCUGUAAUUUCAAAUCUUGACAGAUUUUUAAACCUUCUUUAUUGACAAAACUGACUAGUUCACCAUAGGUGAGUUCGUCAUAAGAAAUGCGGUUGUCAUGAAGAGCUUUAAUGGAGUUUCUGACUUUUCUCCUAAGAGAGUAGGUAAACAUGCAAGAAAUUUUUCCUUCCCAGUUACAUGAUUUGCAUCAUCCCUUAAGAAAAGUCUAGUAAAGAAAGUGGUUUUAUAAUUCUGGAAUUCACUAAGUUUCCUACAUCUCAAAUUAUAUAGUAACUCAGCGUUUUUAUCUCUUAGGAGAGAAUGAUCACCUAUGAAAUGAAGAGAUAUGGUAAGAAUCAGGGUAGCAACAACAUCCUGAAUUGGGCUAUUGAUUUCAUCAAGGAUGGGUGUUCCAUCCUCUUCAGUUUGGAUUGAAUUUAGAAUGUCGAGUUGUUGCUGUUUUGUGAAAAGAUGAUCCCACCAUCCUUUAAGUUGACCAGUAAAACCAGAAAUAAGAAUCUCUGCAAUGGCUUUGUCAGAGGUUCCUUGUUGAGUUUUAUAUGUAUUGGCUGCCAUGGUCAUCUGUUGCAGUAAUCCUAAGACAUUAUAUUCAGACAUACCAUCAAUAUUCCAUUCAUAGACAGAGGAUGCAUUGAAACGAGAUUGGUUUAAUGCACUUGGUCUAUUAUCGAUGGCAAGAUCUGGAGGAGAGCUUAUAGUUGGGAGAGCAAGUUCCCAAUGGAUUUUAUUAACUUUAGGGAUAGACUCAUCUUUGAAGGCUUCUAUGUCAGAAGAGGUUAUAGAAGAUUAAUCUUGUUCUAGUACACCAAUCUUGCUAGAUUGGGCACUAUCAGGAGCAAUUUGGACUUUAGAAGUAGAAGCAAAAGAAGAUGCUUCUAUACGAUCAAGUUGCUCUUUAAUAGAUUUAGCAAAAUCUGAUUUGGAUUCUUGAACAAGCUUUUGGCUAAGUUUCGAAACCUGAAAAGGUUUGAAAAUAGGUUCUUUAAGCUUUUUCAAGGAGUCAGACUUUGAUGGAGUAGUAAAAGGGACAAUAACGAUUGACUUCUGGAAUUGACUAUCUAUUCGGGUCAACUAUUUUUCGAUUGUAUUUAGAUUAGCAUUGCAGAAAUUAUUCUGUUGGAUAAUGCUAUCUAAAUUCUUCUCUAUAUCAUUAGGUUUUUGGAUUAAUCUUGAUGAAGACGUCCUUUCCAAAAUAACUCAUUUGCUUGUUGAGUCUUCUAACUCUAAUUCAAAUUUCUCCUUGUCAGGAGACAGUGAUCCUUUACAAGUCGAUGAGUUGAUUGACUCAGAAACAUCUGUAUCAAGUGAUUCUGAUUCAGAAACCUUUUUAAAGAAGAUUAAUGUUUUGACCAAAGAACAAGAAACUUUUCUUGAACUUGUAAAACAUAUUUCAGACCCUAUCCUUCAAAAGGAAUACCUUGACAAACUUUUAAAGACUCUAGAAUUAAAAGACAAACCAGAAACCUCUAAAACUCCAAUCAUUAAAAAGAAUGCUUAUGAUCUUACAGAAAUUUUGGAUAAACAGAAAACAAAGAAAGCCACUCCAAACAUCCAAGAUCUCUAAAAGAAAAUUAAGUAAAUUAAACUUGAAAUCAAAGAAUUAAAAGAAAAACAGAAAAAUGACUCAGAAACUAUCCAGCUUUUGUUUCAAAAACAAUUGGAAGACAAUUCUGAUCAAGAAUCAAACUCUGGUGAGGAAAAUGGACAACAACUUGAAAACAUCGAAUCAAUCCCCAAUGAUUUUCUUUUUGUUUUAAAACAAAUCACCACUAGAAAAUAUUUGAUUAAAAUCACUUUAAAAUUUUCUAAAGAUUUCGAAAUUGACACCAUUGCUCUCUUUGACACUGGUGCUGAUUUAAACUGUAUCAAAACAGAUAUUGUUCCAAAGAAAUUCCAUGAAAAGACUAAUGAAAGGCUUUCUGCAGCAAACAAUUCAAAGUUGAACAUCAAAUCCAAAGUUGAUGCCUCAAUUCAUAACGAUGGUUUUGAAUUUAGGACUUCCUUUCUUCUAACAAAUGAUAUUCAUCAUGCUGUUAUUCUAGGAACUCCUUUCAUAAACCUCAUUACUCCCUAUACUGUCAAUUACGAUAGUAUAUCUUUUAAAGCAAAAAAGAAAAAAUUAAUUUUUCCUUUUAUUGAAAAACUUAAAACAAAGAAUUUGAAUAUUGUUAAAGCCUAUUCUAUUUACCAGAACCAAAUAAAUAUUUUGCUCAAAACAAAACAAACUGAUUUAGCUUGUUUACAGAAGGAUUUGAUGAAAGACAAAUCCCUAUAAAAGCCCAUCCUAUUCAAAUGAAUAUGGAUCUAGAAAAACAUUGUCAACAAGAAAUCAAAGAUUUAGAAUCUAAAGGACUCAUUGUCAAAUCUAGGUCUCCUUGGUCUUGUGCCGCUUUCUAUGUCAAUAAAAAUUCCGAAAUAGAAAAAGGAACCCCUAGAUUGGUGAUAAAUUAUAAACCUCUUAAUAAAGCAUUAAAAUGGAUUAGGUAUCCUAUACCUAAUAAAAAAGAUUUGCUUCAAAAACUACAUUCUGCAUUCAUAUUUUCCAAAUUUGAUAUGAAAUCUGAUUUUUGGCAAAUCCAAAUUCAUCCUAAAGAUCGUUACAAAAAUGCUUUCACUGUUCCAUUUGGACAGUAUGAAUGGACAGUAAUGCCUUUUGGUUUGAAAAAUGCACCCUCAGAAUUUCAAAGAAUUAGGAAUGAUAUUUAUAAUCCUUUUUCUGAAUUUUGCAUUGUUUAUAUCGAUGAUGUGCUGAUUUUUUCUUAAUCAAUUGAGCAACAUUUCAAACAUUUAAAGACUUUUUUUUUGGCAACUAGAAAAGCUAGCCUAGCCAUUUCUAGUUCUAAAGUUUCUUUAUUCCAAACUAAAGUCAGGUUUUUUGGUCACUACAUCUCAAAAGGAACCAUUACUCCCAUUGAAAGGUCCCUUGCUUUUACUGACAAGUUUCCUGAUAAAAUCCUUGAUAAAACCCAAUUGCAGAGAUUUUUGGGUAGUCUAAAUUAUGUUCUUGAUUUCUGUCCUAACAUCAAUAGGAUUGUCAAGCCACUGCAUGAUAGGUCAAAGAAAAACCUUGUUGCAUGGUCGGAAGAACAUACUAAAAUUGUUAAACAAAUAAAGAACACAGUUAAAAAUAUUCCAUGUUUAUUUCUUACAAAUCCUGCAUUACCUAAGAUUGUUGAACUGAUGCAUCCAAUUUAGGCUAUGGUGGGAUAUUAAAGCAAGUCGACAGUAACAAAGAACAAAUAGUACAAUAUAUUUAUGCACAUUGGAAUGAAUGCCAGCAAAACUAUUCUACUAUUAAAAAAGAAAUUUUAUCAAUUGUCCUAUGCAUUUCCAAAUUUCAAAGCGAUUUAUUAAAUAAAAAAUUUUUGCUUAAAAUUGACUGCAAGGCUGCAAAACAUAUUUUGGAAAAAGAUGUACAGAACAUUACAUCAAAACAGAUUUUUGCACGUUGGCAAGCUAUUUUAAAUAUUUUUGAUUUUGAGAUUGUGUUUAUUAAAGGCGAUACAAAUUCUCUCCCUGAUUUUCUAACCAGGGAAUUUCUUCAAAACAGAUAAUGCCGCCCAAAAGAAGAGAUAAAGUGAAAGGGAUCCUUACAGACCCGUGUCCCAAACACCAUCUAAAGCCUCCCAAUCUUCUCCACCUAAAGAAAAAUUACUUUCUUCUGCUAUGCCAAUUAAGUCUUGGAUUGACACAAUAGAAGAACAAGCUGCUCAAGAAGCCCAAUCUAAAGCACUUGGCUCCCAAGAGCAGGUAAAUGAAUGCAUGAAAUCCAUUUCUAAAUCCCCUGAGCUUAUGUUUGCCUUACAAAGCUUUUCUCAAAGUCAAAUUUCUCCUAAAGAAGAAAAUUCCAUUUCUAAAGAAAUUUCUAAAGCUUUUUCACAAAAUGUGAUUCUUUCUGGUGAAAGUUCAUCUUCUCAGAUUGUUCUUUCACAAACAAAGCUUACAAAGAAAACUUCGGAUUGGUUUAAUAAAACCCAUUUCCAAAAUAUUUUAUCCAUAGAAGACGGAUUUUAUCAUACUGAUCCAUUUCAAGCAAUUUUAAAGAUUUUUCCUAAAGGCUGGUUUUUCAAACCAUGAGAUUUAUCCAAACCCCAGCCUUAUUAUCAAAGCAUUUUGGAAUUCACUGAAUCAGUAAAAUUCAAACAUUUUUUCCUCAGUGAGUCCCAUUCUGAGCCUGCCUAUUCUACGGCAACCAUUAUAAAAAUUUUGAGCUCAAAACAAUGGGGUGAUCUACUCCACAAAUCUAAAGCUUUUCCUCUAAAUUUUCAAAACAAUAUGAACUAUAGCCUAUCUUUCUCCUAUUGGGAUUACCAACAGGCUUGGUUUAAUACCAUUUUGGAAAGGACUUCUUCAUCAAGAUUAAUCUCUUGAAGUCUCUCUAAAUUUUCAAAACAAUAUGAACCAUAGCCAUAUAUAUAUAUAUAUAUAUAUAUAUGAAUAUCUUUUUAUUUUGUUUUGACUUAAUGCAUUCAAGAAAAAUAAUUUGUUUAAUUAACCUCUGUAGUAAACAAUACUAUGAUAAAAAAUGAAAAAAAAAAUAAUGAAUGUCAUAGAAUGAAUAUAGAAUUUAUAGUUAAAUCAAUUCAAUAAAACUUAUUCUAAUUGCUUUCAAUACAAUUUUUUUAAUUGAUGACUCACUUUGUUCUUUAUUUAAUUAAAUUAAAUAAAUAAGCUAAUUUUAUUUAAUGAAAGAUUAAUAUUGAUUUCAAAGUUUUAUGUUAUUUUAUAAGUGUUUGUUUUGUUUGUAAUUUGAAAACACUAAUUUACCACUUAUAUAUUAAUAUACUAAUUUUAUCUUUUAUUUAAUAAUUUUAUAUGUAAUUUACAAAACUUAUAUUUAUCAUGAUAAUAAUGUCGUAAUUUUAAUCAUAGUAUCAUAGAAUUUUUCAAAUUUCAGAUAGUAUAUUUUUUGGUUAUUGUAAACAGUUUUUUAUAAAAAUUAAAUAGGGGCAUUAUAGUAUUAACGUACUUUUUAAUAUUUUGAUGUUAUUUGGAGCAGACAAGCUACGUUACAGACUGUAUGUAACAGCUCAGUACAAAUUGAUCUUGUAUCAGCUAACUUUUCCUCUCUCCUGCAACGCGUGGAUGCUCCCCAUUUGCUACGUUUCAGACUCUAUAAACAACAAAGUCAUCGACUUGCUGUUUUUCCAAGCAAUCACUCAGCAUCUUGCCACAUAUUUGAGUCAGAGCCCAAACGCCCGAUUUUCGUCCUUCAAUUGAAGGAUGAUUUUGUUUUGGAGCUCGGCGUGGCAAGAAUGCAUUAUCGGACUAUUAUUAACUAUCAUCAUUACAGAGCAGUACCUGAACCACGUGAUCUCCCACCACAAUUUUUUUAAUAAAAUAUAUAUUUAUUUCUUUUAAAAGAUCAAUAACACCCCGACUGUCUCAUAUUACAUAAUCAUACUCUAAAAAGGCCAAAAUAUCCUAAAUAAAAAAAAAUAUUCUCAACUUUAUUAUCAAUCUUCAGGGAUACUACUAUGUUACCACAGAGAUAACAUACCGCACUUUUUUGUCCUUUUAGAUUAAUUACACUAGAAUCCCUAUUUUAUGCUAAAAUUAGACAAAAAAUCCGAUAAUCUUAAAUUUUGACUCAUUAGUCCUACUUGUUUUGAUUUUUUGAAACUUAAAUCAAAAUGUGAGGGUAUUUUUUAAUUAUUAAUUCACACACCAUCAUCAAAGUUUUAAAAAGAAAAUUUACUCCAUACACCUACUUAAAUGUCAAAUAUAUCCUUGAUAAAACUAAUUUUAUAUUUUUACUAAAUUAAUUAAUUAAAAUGAUAUAAAAAAUGAUUGAAUUAUUUACAUGCCCACUAGUUUCAAUUCCAUAUCUCUAGCAAUUAGCAACUAAAUUUUAUCACUAACUCAAAAUUAUCGACCAUGAGAUGUGAAAAAAGGUUCUCAAAUACAUGUGGAGUAUAAAAUGACUUUGCCUUCAAAUUCUUUUAAAAGAUUCUAAACUUAUUUAUCAAGCUCGUAGAUGUAAGAAUAAACGACAAGAAAGUUGCCACCCUCCCUCACACUUUUUGAUACCUUCUUAUUAAACAAUAAAAAAUUAUUAAUUGGUAGAUUAAUAUAUUUUUAUUGCAUAUUGAAAUUAUUUACUAUAUAUUGAAUAAGUAUUAUGAAAAAAAUAUUAACUACAAAUUAAGAACAAGAGAUCAAAUUCAUACUCAUAUUUAUCAUAAAAUAUUGUUUGUAACUAAUACAUGGUUUUACUAUAUAUUAAACUAAUUAAUUAAUAAGAAAGAAUAUUAAUUUAAACAUAUUAAUUCAAAUAUAAGAAUAAAUUAAUUUAUUAGUGAAAUUAACUGGGUCAUUUGACACAAUAUAUUGUAUUGCAUUAGAUGCAUUAUAUUACAGUGUGUGUCAUUAAUGUGUAUUAAAUUGUAAUAUUUAUAUCAUUAUUUAGAUUGCUAUUAAUUUUAAUUUAAUAUUAUUCAAAUUUAUUAAUAUUUAAGAAUUUAUUAUUUUUAUAUUAAAUAUUUAAAAAUAUUUAAUUUUUAUAUACUAAUUUUUAUAAUAUAAUUAAAUAAUGUAGUAUUAUAUUAUAUUUUUAUCUUUAUAUAUUAUUUAAGUAUUUAUUGUUAGUUAUACUAAAUUUUUAAAUAAUAAUCAAUUUUAUUUAUUAAUUAUUAUAAUAUAAUUAAAUAAUAUUAUAUUAUGUUAUAAUUUUUUAUAUAAUAUUUAAGUACUUAUUAUUAGUUAUAUUAGCUUAUUAAAUAAUAAUCAAUUUUUACUUACUAAAUGUUAUAAUAUAAUUAAGUAAUACAUUAUUUAAUUAAAAUUAUAAUAUAAUUAAAAUGUUUUAAUAUUAUUGAAUAAUAAAUUGUAAAUUUAUGGACUUAUGUGUUAAUAUUUUAAACUUUGUUACUUUUGUAAUUUUGUAGCAAACAUUAGGGAGUAUAACAUUAAUAACCCAACAAAAACAUCUUAGCCAUUACCCUUGGUCUGAAUUAAAUCUAACGGUGGAUUAGGAAAAGACAAAAGAAUGUGGUAUGUUACGACCGUAGUAACACAGUUGGACCCCAAUCUUCAUAACAAAGUUGAAUAAUAAAUCAAGUGAUAUAAAAAAAUCGAGUAAAAUAAUAAUUCAAAAGUAUUAGCAUUUUAACUUAAAGGCUUGUAGUUCAAUAAUAUCUACAAGAGAAUGAGUUUGAGCCACGUAAAAUUUAUUAUAUUUAAAAAAUAGUAAAUUUAUCGAUUGUAUAUUUCUACAUACAGUAAAUAAUUUUUUUUAAAAAUUAAAUAUGGGCAUUUUAGCAUUAACUUAUUUUUAUAUUUUGAUGUUUUUUGGAGUUAUUGCAAUUGCGGCUUCGGGUGAUUCCUUUCAUUCGCUUGCUCUGUAGUAAUAGCUACUACCACGCAGAAUGGAACUGCGAGAAAUAGAAGAACAGGAAAACGAUGUCGUUUUACUGAAGAAGAAGAAGACGAAGAUGAAACUGUGAAAGAAGAGAAAUCGAGAGGAAAGAAAAGAACAACUCAAAGAAGAAGAAACUGAAGAAUUAUUGCAGGAUCCACUGGAGGCUUUUGGUGGAGACAUAAUGUUGAAGAUACUUCAAAACCUAAAGGCACGCAGCGUAGCACCGACUCUCCUUGUAUCCCGUGCUUGGAACGGCGUUGCUUCAAGCGACACGCUUUGGACUCCCAAGGUUCAUUUCCUUUCCUAUUCUUUUUUUUCCCAAUCUUUUUGCCUGGUAAAUGAAUUUAGGUUUGUUUCCUUUUUUAAAAUUAAUUAAUUAAUUUAGUGUUUUCUUCGGAGAAUAUGAGAAUUGGGUUUUUUUUUUAGUUUCACAAUUGGGUUUUUGUUUUAAGUAUUUUUGGUUGUUUGAAAUAAUCAUAUCAUGAAUACAAUUGAAUUUGAAUUUAAGCUUUUCAUGUGAUCAUCGAGUUUUAUGUUCCUAGUUUACAGGAAUUUGUAUUCAGCGCUGAGCUGAGGUUUUUGUUAAUCUUUUAGAAAGAUAAGAAUAUUAAAUUAAUUAAAUAUUCAUCUUAAAUUGUUAUCCAUGCAUGUGUGGUAGAUGUUUACGAAGAGAUGAGCACAGCUAAGCUCAGUACUGGAUCUAAAUCCAGCUUACAGGAUUUCUUGUCCGCCAGGAGCAUUAUAUGAAUACUCGACUUAUUGUUUGACUCAAUUUACUACUCGACUUGGCUUUCUUGACCAACUUGAAUUCGUCUGAGUAUUCUCGAUUUAAGCUGAAUAUUUUUUGUCUCGUAUCUAUUUGUCUUUGCUCACCCCUUAAGGGUAUAUCUAUGUAAAGUGACUUAGUUGGGGUAUAUUGUUGGUAUAUUUUAUUUUUUAAAAUCCUGGGCCCUAGGAAGCCCUUUCUUAUCAUUGAAACUAGACCGUGGCUAAAUUAUUGGUUUAUUUAAAGGAUUGGGGUAUAUUUUUAUAUAAAACCAAACUGAAUUGUGAAUGCCACUGCACGUUUUUACAGCCUUAUAGCCUAAAUUGCUUAUUCCUUCUGAUUGCAUGAUUUGGGAAGAAUUUUUUUUUUUUAACUUAACUUCAAUUAUUUUCUCUGCUUUAUUUGAAACCUAACCGGAAAGAAUAUCUACCUUUUUUUUUUUUUUUUUUUUCAGUUCUCCAGGUAACUUAAUCGGUCAUGCUUCUACUUUGAAGAGUAACUGAGUACGGAUAAUUUACUUGAGUUUCCAGCUGAUGGCAAUGCUGAAUCCUACAAAGAUAUGGCAAGAGAAAUAUUUGAGAGCUUAUUAACAGUACCGGCCAGGAACACGAUCCUGCAUAGCAACAUCAUAUGCCAAUGAACAGAAAAUGCGUCAAUCAAGUUCGUAGGGGAAAUACUUGAGAUAUGCCCAUCACUACAAACACAAGUUAAUGGCAAAGGUGAUACUCCACUUCACGUUGCGGCAAAAUUCGGCCAUUUUAAUAUAGCAGUUAGAAUUCACAAACCUUAAGCAUACAAUCUGUUUGGCUAGCAGGAAAGUGACGAAGGAAGAAAGAAAAACAAACUGAAUAAGAGAAUUUUAUUAAUCUCGAAUCACACACUUACAUUCAAGCUUUCAUCAACUUAUAUUGCUGAUUAACAGAAGUAACAACCUCUGUAACAGCUGUCAAAUAACUAUUGGUUAAGCUAAGCUAAACAAUAACAAUCUAACUAAUUUGUCCAACUCAGCUAUCCAGCUCAUCAAUCCUAGUCAAGUGAAUCUCAGCCAUUGAUAUGCUGCUGUUGAUUAAGCAUCUCAACACCCCUUCUCAAGCUUAAUGGUUGUGGAACAACAUUAAGCUUGUCUCUAUAGUAAUUAAAAAAAGAGUAAGCCAUAGGCUUUGUAAGCACAUCUGCAAUAUUCCACUCACUUGGUACAUACUUGAUCUCCACUUGUUUGCCCGUUACCUUUUCCCUUAUGAAAUGCACAUCCAACUCUAUGUGCUUGGUUUUGGCAUGAUAUACUGGAUUUGUUGCUAGUGCAGCUACACCAUUGUUGUCACACCAGAUUAUUGGUAUUUGGCUACACUUCAGUUUAAGCUCUCCAAGUAAAGCUUGAAUCCAAACAAUUUCUGCACAAGCUGUUGACAAUGCUCUAUACUCUAACUCUGUGCUAGACCUUGCUACAGUUUGUUGCUUCUUGGAGGACCAUGAAACCAGAUUCUGCCCAAGAUAUACACAAUAUGCUCCAACUGACUUUCUGUCAUCCACAUCACACGCCCAAUCUGCAUCUGUAUAUGCUGUCAGACUAAUUCCAUCUCCUGCUUUAAACAUCAAUCCAUAAUCUUCAGUUGCCUUUAAGUAUCUUAGAAUUUUCUUACAAGCAACCCAGUGUUUCUCAGUUGGUGCAGCAAGAAAUUGGCUCAACUUAUUAACUGAAAAGGCAAGUUCUGGUCUUGUAAGUACCAAAUACUGUAAAGCACCUAUUAUGCUUCUAUACUCAGUGACAUUAACAAUCAAGUUAUCAUCAUUCCCUGCUCUUCUUAGUUUCUGUCCUGUACUCAUUGGAGUAUCACUUUCUCUGUAAUUUUCCAUAUCAGUUCUUGUAAGCAAAUCUCUUACAUAUUUUGCCUGUGAAAGAUGUAAGCUACCCUUUGCAUCAUGUGUAACCUCAAUACCAAGGAAGUAACUGAACUCACCAAGAUCUUUUAAAGCAAAGGUAUCUCCAAGGUAUUGGAUAAAUGUUUCAAUUACUGUAUUGUUAUCACCAGUAAUUAAUAUAUCAUCUACAUAUACUAACAUAGCCACAAUACCUCCAAGUUCAUGUUUGAUGAACAAAGAUGAGUCUGCUUUGGAGUUCUGAAACCCCCACUGCAACAGUGCUUUCCUUAGCCUGUCAAACCAGGCUCUGGGAGCCUGUUUCAAACCGUAAAGAGCCUUAUGCAACUGACAAACAUGACCAGAUGGAGACUGAACAAAACCCUCAGGUUGAAACAUGUAGACAUCUUUAUUGAGCUCUCCAUUAAGGAAAGCAUUGUUGAUGUCGAUUUGUCUUAUUUUCCAGCCCUUCAUCACAGCAAGACUAAGGAUAAUUCUCACAGUUGACUGUUUAACUACUGGACCAAAGGUCUCAAAGUAGUCAAUACCAGGUGUUUGAUGAAACCCUUUUGCCACCAGCCGUGCUUUAUACUUAGAAACAGAACCAUCUGCAUUAUACUUAAUGCGAAAAACCCAUUUACACCCAACAAUUUUAGUAGCUUGAGAAGCUGGUACAAGAAUCCAAGUCUUAUUUUCCAUAAGUGCAUUAUACUCUGCCUGCAUGGCUGCUUUCCAUUUGGAAUCUGAAAGAGCUUGAGAAACUGUGGAAGGCUCUUGUUCUCCAAGAACAGAGGAAUAGGCAUGAAAUUUUGGCUUAAAUACACCUGCUUUGGCUCUUGUAAUCAUUGGGUGAUUUGGCAGUGAAACUUGAGUAGAGGAUGGUUGUUGAUUUGAAGUGUUUUGGGAUACAUAAGGAGAGGUGUGGGAGGGUGGAUGAUUUGAUUGAGAUGGUUGAAAUGGUUGAGAAGAAGGUGAUAAAGAACUAGAUGAGGAGGAAGAAGCUGAAGCUGCAGGCAACUGAAAUGGUUGUAUAAUGGUGUUACUUGAGCCUGAAGGGUCAUGAAGUGGAACUGACACUGAAGAUACCUUAAACAUAGGAUAUCUAUAUUCAGAAGCAGAGGAAGAAGGUUGUUUAGAGAAAAGAGAGUCAGUAGAGAAAGGAAAUUCUGACUCAUUAAACACAACAUGCCUAACAACAUAUACAACACCUUUUGAGCUUAGGCAUUUAUACCCUUUGUGAUAUGAGCUAUAACCAAUAAACAAACAUUUUGUAGUGUGAUAGUUGAAUUUGUGUUUGUUAUAGAAUCUCAAGUAUGGAAAACAGGAACAGCCAAAACACUUUAGAAAAUCAUAGUCAUGCUUGUGUUUGAAAAGAAUCUCAUAGGGAGAUUUAUUUGAUGGUAGAACAGAAGUUGCCAAUCGAUUGAUGAGAAAAGCAGAAGUUGAGAAUGCUUCCCACCAGAAACUGAGAGGCAAUUUAGCUUGUACAAGAAGAGUCAAACCCAUCUCAACAAGAUGUCUAUGUUUCCUCUCUGCUGUCCCAUUCUGGUGAUGUGUGUGAGGACAUGAAUGUCUGAAUAAAAUGCCAUGUUUUUUAAGAUAAUUCACAAAGGAUCUGAAUUCACCCCCCCCCCCAAUCUGACUGUAGGACCUUAAUGACUGUUUCAAAUUGUUUUUCAACUUGAGUUCGAAAAAUGGCAAAAACAGAUAAAGCUUGAGACUUGGUUUUCAAAGGAUAAACCCAGGCAUAUCUACUAUAAUCAUCAAUGAAACUGAUAUAGUAUCUAUAACCAUUGAGAGAAGUAAUGGGUGCUGGACCCCAUAAGUCAGUAUGGAUGAGUUCUAGAGGUGAGGUUGUUUUGUGUUCAGUUGCUCCAAAAUGCAGUUUAUGAACUUUGCCAUAUUGGCAGGCAUCACAAAAAUCAGGAAUUUGAAUUUUAUUGCUUAACUGCAAAUGUUUACAACUGGUGAGUACAUGUUUCAAGACUUUUGAACUAGGAUGACCAAGUUGCCUAUGUAGGAUAUUUAUUGAAGUACUGGAAACUCUACUGGAAUGAGACAACAGACACUGUUGAGAGGAGUGUUGAACAACUUUAGCUUGAAUAUUUGAAAAAGAACAAGACUGCAAACCAUCUGAGCAAUGUGGCACCAUAGACAUAGGAACAAAACAUGACUCUUUAUUUACAGUUGAAAAUAAAGCUUGAUGAGUUUUACUUCCAGGCUCAAGUUUCAGCUUAUACAGACCCUUCAUAGCUACACCCUCCAGCAAUACUGUCCUCUUCUUCUUGUCCUUGAGAAAGCAAGUAUUUCCAUAAAAUUCAAUGAUCAAGGAAUUAUCAGAAGUGAGCUUAGAAAUGCUUAAAAGAUUUUUGGUGAUGUGUGGCACAAAUAAAAGAUUUUUGAGCAAUAAUCUAUGAUUUCCAACUGCUAAAUGAGUGCUUCCUAUAUGAGAAAUAGUAAGGCCAUGUCCAUUACCAAUUAAAAGCUUUUCAUUACCUUCAUAAGGCUCACUGAUGCUGAGAUUAUUGAGAUCAUUGAUUAGGUGGUGAGUUGCUCCACUAUCCAGGUACUAGUCAUCAUCCAUUACUGCUUCUGGUGUUGCCAUAUAAGCUGACAUAUUUCUUUGACCGUAGCCUUGAUUGAAAACUUGAUUCUGAUGUGGAUACCUUAUGACUGGAAUGAAAUCCUUGUUGAACCUAUCCUUGCAGGUAGCAGCAGUGUGUCCUAUGAUGAAGCACACUUGGCAUCUAGGCUGAUAUGGCUGUGAAAAAUGACUAGGCACAUGACUAGGCAUUUGAGUUCUCCCACCUUGAUUCCAAGAUCUUCCUCCAUGCAUGUUAUUUCCUCUUCCACCUUUCCUUCCUCGAUAGAAAUUUCCACCUUGAUUCCCUCUAAAAUUUCCUUGCAUCAUGUAUCCAGAAUUUUUAGAUCUUGAUGCAUCUUGAUUGAAACCAGAUCUUGAGUUGUAUGUUCCAAAACCUUUCUUAUUAUUGUUCCCUUACUGAACAAAAUUUGCAGCAAACGCCAGAUUUGCAUCCAUAGUUCAGCUAAAGCUUGUUGUUCUAACAUUCCCUCAUGUGUCAUUAACAUAGAGAGUGAUUCUGAUAAAUCGAGAUCUAAUCCUCUUCCUGUGAUCAAAACUGCUACAGGAUUGAAUUCUGAACCAAUUCCUCCUAACACACUCAUCAUAAAGUCAUAGUCACUCAUUGGUGCUCCUGCUGCUGCCAUGCUAUCUGCUAUGCCUUUCAUUUUGUGAAAAUAGUCAUAAACACUCAAAUCGUUCUUCUUUGUCAACAUCAUUUGAUUCUUCAGUUGCAAUGCUCUGGUUUUGUUUUGUGAGCCAGAAAGUUUUUCCAGAGCUUUCCAAACUUCAAAGGAAGUUUUGCAUCCGAGAACAAUUCCGAGAACACUCUCAGUCAUGGAAGAGAGUAGCCAACCUAGCAACUGCUGAUCAGUUCGCUUCCACAUCACAAACUCAGAGUUCGGAAUCCUCUGAUCUGUGUAUGGUGCUGUGAUUGAACCAUCAAUAUAUCCUUCUAAUCCAUUUCCCUGAAUGGAUGCCAAUACUUGCAUUUUCCAGAUCAAAUAAUUUGAUCUGUCGAGCUUAAUUGGUGUAGGAAAGGUAUAGGAAACAGUUGUGGUUUGAUUUAAGCUUGAUGAUGCCAUCUAGCUCUGAUACCAAGUUAGAAUUCACAAACCUUAAGCAUACAAUCUGUUUGGCUAGCAGGAAAGUGACGAAGGAAGAAAGAAAAAUAAACUGAAUAAGAGAAUUUUAUUAAUCUCGAAUCACACACUUACAUUCAAGCUUUCAUCAACUUAUAUUGCUGAUUAACAGAAGUAACAACCUCUGUAACAGCUGUCAAAUAACUAUUGGUUAAGCUAAGCUAAACAAUAACAAUCUAACUAAUUUGUCCAGCUCAGCUAUCCAGCUCAUCAAUCCUAGUCAAGUGAAUCUCAGCCAUUGAUCUGCUGCUGUUGAUUAAGCAUCUCAACAAUAGCGAAUGUUCUUAUGAAAAGAGCAAAAUUAGCUCAACAUGAAGAUGAAGAGCUAGAGAGCGGGUUAGGAGCUGCCAGGCAGAUGAUUAGGAUGACGAAUGAAAAGAAGAAUACUGCAUUGCAGUCUGCACGAGGCAGUGUUUCAUGGCAAAGUGGAUGUGUUGAAAAUACUGACGAGAUAAAUACCUGAAUAUCCAUAUUCUGUAAAUAAUUGCGGCAAAACGCCGCUCCACAUGGCUGCUGAGUAUGAGCACUUUUCUCAUAAGAUGCUAGCCUUAUUAGAAAACUGCACAUCAAUGUCCCAUGAAGGCCCCUACGGAAGGACAGUUUUACGUGAUGCAGUAAUGCAGUUGGAUUUCCGUAAGUUUGAUUAUACCCUUUCAGUGCGAAUUUGAAUAUUUAGAUCUUUUCCUGCAGGUUUUGUUCAUGCUCUUUCAUGCCCACGGGUCUGACAGAAUGAUUCUCAAGUAAUUAUAUUUAGUUGGUCACCAAAUUUAAAUUCUGAGAGGCUGGUGGUGGAUAAACAUUGAAUUUGAAUUAUAAUUUUAUUUAUCUUUUGGCUCUUUACACUCAGAAAUGAAUUAUCAUGCGAUGCAACAAUUAUUUGAAAAAAGGAAGAGUCUGAUCAAAGAAACAGACCAUUAUGGGUAGACUCCAAUUCAUUACGCUGCAUAUCAUAAUCAAUAUCAACAAAUACAUGUGCUAUUAGAAAUUGAUCAAACUGCUUCAAACAUUACUGAACAAAGAUCGAAAGAUGACAGCUCUUCAUUCGGCAAAGGGCCGAGGGCAUGCCAGAACAGUUGAAAGAAUUCUUUCCCUUACACCAGAAUGUUAUGAACUGGUCGAUAACAGGGGAUGGAACUUUUUUCAUUAUGGAAUAGUCAUUUUUUUUUUAAUGAUUUAAAAACUCAACUAAAAUAUCCGUUAGCGAGGAGUCUUAUAAAUGAGGGGGAUGCCAAGGAGAACUCUAUAUGAUUAGGAAGACUCGAACUAACUAUCACACUGUCAAUAGGCAAAAUGUUAGUGUUAGACACAUUUUGAAAUAUGGCUAUCCUAUCCUGAGCUCAAGGUAAUUAAUUUGUUAAUUCUUUCAACUUAUAAAUCCAGCUUUCUUUUUCAUUACUUUAUUAUUAUUUUUUUUUUUAGUUUAUGCAAUUAAUUCAUAUUCACACUCAAUUUACAGGAGGAAGAAUUUUCCAAAGAUGUUGGCGGAGGACAAUAUCAAGAUGGUGCUAUAUUCAUGACGACAGUGCUAAAUUGCUAAGACCAGAUCCAAAUGCAAUGGCACGUGGAGUAGUGGCUCGACCGGGUUAGCCCAAAAAAUAAUUCAAUAUCCCUUAAAUUUUAUGGUAUUUUUAUUUUUAAAUCUUUUUCUUUCGUGUCCUUAAAUCAAUCUUUAUUAAAAUAACUUAAAUAUAUUUAUAGUUAAGUUAUUCUGGUUUGGACCCUUUAAAAUUCAAUAUUAAAAUAGUAAUUUGUCUUUUUACCAACUUUCUUUUGAGCAAGUUUCUUGAUGUUGCAAUGUCUUUUGAAUUGUUUUUUUUUUUUUUGUUAUGUUCACACAGAUAAAUACGAUAAAUUCAUAAUCUAACCCUGCCUGGUCAAAAGAUUAUCUUGACGAUCCUAAAUAUGAUUACAAAGAUAUGACAGCGUCCGAUGUUGUAGUAUAGUGAAAAUUACCCUUUAGGACAAUGCUUUGCACCCGCCUUGAGGAUUUUUCUCUGAGUUCGUAUUUGUUGGUCCGAUAACAAAUUCUUCGUUGUAGGAAGCAACUAUUUGGUUUUCCGGCUGCAGCCACAAGGUUAUGAUUGUAACUUUUUUUUUUAAAUGAGAAAGAAUAUUGUUGUCAAGCUAUUGUUCAUCACCGUUGAGGCUUUUGAUGGGUGUUGUUGUUCAGGCUGAGCUGGUCUUUCAAAAAAGUUAUUUUGUCUCAAAUUUCCAACGUAAAUGGCCCAACAAAUUUGUGCCUUUCUGUAUAUUUAUUAAUAUGAAUACGCUUCAUAAUUGUGAGACUUAUUUUUUUUGUAUCAGUUGAUACAUUAAAAAAAUUAGAGAAAAUGACUAACACACCCUCAAUGUUUAGGUAAAAGGAUAAAAAUUCCCCAACAUUUCGUAAAAGAUAUUUACACCCUCAUUCACUAACGGAAAUAGUUACUUUUAAUAGAAAUAGUAAUUUUAAUAUAUAAUUACCAUUAUACCCUUCUAGCACAUAAAAAAAAUUAUUAAUUGUCCAAUUUGUUUAUAUAUUAUUAAUAAAAUUACAAAUAUACCUUCAUUACCUAAUUCCUCUCUUUAAAUUUUUAUCAAAUUAUCUCUUCAAGCAAAAUAAAUUUAAUCUAUUAUCAAUUUUUAUGUCUAUUGGAUAUGUUACUUAAUACAAUUAAGAUAAGAUUUUUGUAAUUAUUGUUGUAACCAGCCUUUUUUUUUAUUUUGUUGAUUAUACAAGUUUAAAUGAUUGACAUGUAGAGAAUUGUUAUUCUUAUGGCAUUAAUAACUAAUUUUAUUUAUUUUAUCAAUUUUUAUGUCUAUAGGAUAUGUUAUUUAAUACAAUUAAGAUAAGAUUUUUGUAAUUAUUGUUGUAACCAGUUUUUUUUUAUUUUGUUGAUUAUACAAGUUUAAAUGAUUGACAUGCAGAGAAUUGUUAUUCUUAUGGCAUUAAUAACUAAUUUUAUUUAUUUUUAUUCUUGAGUAAUGGAUUAAAUUUAUUUGGUUUAAAGAGAGAAUUUGAUAAAAAUUUAAAUAGAGGAAUUGGGCAAUGGGGGUAUAUUUAUAAUUUUAUUAAUAAUAUAUGGAUAAAUUGGACAAUUAACAAUUAUUUUUUUAUGUGUUAGAAGGGUAUAACGGUAAUUAUAUAUUAAAAUUACUAUUUCCAUUAAAAGUUAUUGUUUCUGUCAGUAAAUGAGGGUGUAAAUAUCUUUUUCAAAACGUCAAGGGAGUUUUUGUCCCUUUGUCUAAACGUUGGGGGUGUGUUUGUCUUUUUCCCAAAAAAUUAACUUAGAGAAAAAGAAGAUUUAACAUUUUUUUUCAGGUCAAGGCAGCUGCUUCUCGAAAAAAUACUGUCAGUGAUUUCUUAGGCUUCUCCGAAGGCUCUUUUCCUUUUGUUUAUCCUGGAGUUCCAAUUUUCAAGGGUUGUAUUUUGUCCGUUGUCGGGCGAGUGGAGCUAGUUAAUACUCGACCCUAGGGAUUGAGUUAGUAAUUUUUUCCCCAUUGAAAAAACUUCAUCGUUUUGCCUUUGUUUUUCUCAGCGGUCUGUCACCCCAUGAUUGAUUUAACAUUUCUCUUGCCAAUUAAAAGAGUAAACAAACGUUAACUAAAAAACAUGUCGUGUGCAAAAAGUCAACAGAUAGAUGCACAAAAACUCUAUUCUCCUCCACAUAAAAGUGUAGCAUUUAGAUAAUAAAGUUACUGUAUUCAAGUGAUUGUUCAACGCCAUUGUGUACAGCUGUUCUGGCUGAUUUAGGCUUUUAAUGAAACUAUAUUGACUCAUAUUUCUAACAAAUGGACCAUGAUUUCAAUGUUAAAAUACUGAACCUUUCAAGGGUAUAGGAAGAGAUGUAACUUUGAACUCGCGGCCUUAGUGGACUUGAGACUGAGUGUGUAAAUACAUUUUGUAUAAACUAAACAAUUGUAACACUUUGAAGUUGUCGAAUGGGAACUGCAUAAUAAGAUUGUUCCAGUGGAACCAUUGUGAUACUCGUGUAAAUCAAUUAAAGGUUCGUGGAAGAAUAACGACAUAUGUUAAACUAAGGUAAAGAAUCUCCAUAUACAUAAAUAAUAGUUAAUUGAUUAAAAAAAAGGUAAAGAAUCUCCAUAUACAUAAAUAAUAGUUAAUUAAUUAAUAAAUCACUUAGGGUGCGUUUAGUACAUUAUAUUGUAUUAUGUUGUAUUUUAUUAUUUUAAUACUAAUGUAUUGUAUUAUGUUGUAUUGUAUUAGUACCGUAUUAUAAAAAUAUUGUAUAAUAUUUGGUGUUAUACUGUACUGUAUUGAUUAAUGUUGUACAAUGUUUGGUGUCAUACUGCACUGUAUCGAUUUGUUUUGUGAUUAAUUUAAAUUAAAUAUUACAUUAUACUAAUAUUUUAUAUUAUAUUAAUAUAUUUAAAUUGUUUUAAUAUUUUAUAUUAUUAUUAAUUUUAAAUUAAUAUUAUUCAUAUUUAUUAUUAGUUAUAAUAAAUUAUAUAUUUAUUAAUUUAUAUUAAUAAUUAUAAUGUAAAAAUAAAAAUAAAAAUAAAAAUUAGAUGAUAUUGUAUUAAAUUAAAAAGUAGUUAUUAUUAUUAUUAUUAUUAUUAUUAUUAUUAUUAUAAAGUAAAAGCAAAAGUUAAAAGAAAAGUCAAAAGCAAAAGCAAAAGCAAAAGCAACAAAAAAAAAAAGUAAGCUAAUGCACAGCCCUUUAACCCAUUCUCGUUUUUUCAAACAUAGUCUUAUCAUUAAUUUAAUGUAAAUAGUAUUUUAAUAUCCCGUAAUACAAUGCACCAACCAUACUCUUAGAUAUUUUUCUGUCAAAUAAAACAUAUAAAUGUCGAUAAUUAAUACAUGAAUGACACAUUCCAUGUAGUAUCAUUUUAAGAAGUGAUUUAAUAAGUAACAAGAAGGCUAAGAGGCAACAUUGAAUCACUUUUCUUUUGUAGAAUUAAUGAAGUACUCAUAGAGUAUUCCCCUAUUAUUUUAUUGUUUGCAGUCAUUUGAGAGUCACUUUCUUUACCCAACAAACAAAAAGAGCAGAACUGUAUAUGGAAUCCGAUCGAAAUGUGAUAAGGAAGGCUGCAGUAUUUAAAGAUUGAGGAUAUGGCUAUGCAGACUUUUGCAAUGUUAAGGACAAAACAAUAGAAGAAACCAUGGUCAACUUUAAUAAUUAAUUGGUAUAUAUAUAUUUUUGUCUGGGUUCUUAAAAAUAUUGCGCCACAGUUUAAUUAAUUAUUAAUUACACAUACAAGCACACAAUUGAGAAAUUGAUUAGUUUGCCAACGAGAAUGACUAAUCUCAAUUUAUUUAUUUAUUUAACUAAAAGAGCAUGAGGAAGAAAUCAAGGUUAAAAAUGUUAAUUCUUGGUUUGUCAAAAGAGUAAGAAUUAAUGUCGAUACUUACCUUGUCAAAAAAGCAAGAAUUUAAGAAGUGUGAAAAAUACUACAUUAAUGUUGAUUCUUGGCUUGUCAAAAGAGUAAGAAUUAAUGUCGAUACUUACCUUGUCAAAAAAGCAAGAAUUUAAGAAGUGUGAAAAAUACUACACUUUUCAAGUCAUAUAUACAUACAUGUCAGGUUAGAAGAAGAUCUAUGAGUACCUCCGAGAUACUGGGUACCGUUAUCUAAUAGAUCAACUUCGCCAACAUGAAUCCUGUUUCCAUUGAGAUUGAGGAAGCUCCAUUAUUGGACAGCAAUGGUGAAAUUAAGCAGCAAAUGGACCUAAAUUUUUUCAAAGCUGCAUCUGCGGGCAAUUCAGAACCGUUCAAAGACAUGGAAAGAGAUGUAAUUGAGAGAUUGUUAACAGCAAAGGCCAAAAACACAAUCCUGCAUAUCAACAUCAUAUCAUCAGAAAGAGAAAAUGUGUCAACGAAGUUCGUAGAAGAAAUACUUGAGAAAUGCCCAGCACUGCUACUACAAGUUAAUGCCAAAGGCGAUACUCCACUUCACCUUGCAGCAAAAUUCGGCCAUUUUGAGAUAGUGAGAGUUCUUAUUGAAAGAGCAAAAUUAGCUCAACGUGGAGAUGAAGAGCCAGAGAGCGGGGUUGAACCUUUCAGGCAAAUGAUUAGGAUGGUGAAUAACGAGAAGAAUACAGCACUCCACGAGGCAGUGUCUCAAGGCAACGUGGACGUGGUGAAAAUACUGACAAGAGAAGACCCUGGUUAUCCAUAUUCUGCAAAUAAUUACGGCAAAACGCCACUCUACAUGGCUGCUGAGUAUGAGAACCGUUCUGAUAUGUUGCGUGGCCUUUUGGAAAACCGCACAUCAGCGUCCUUUGAUAUGGUGCUUGCCCUGUUAGAAAACAGCACAUCAGUAUCUCAUGAAGGCCCCAACGGAAAGACGGCUUUACAUGCUGCAGCAAUGAGAUCUUUUGCCGGUAAGUUUAAUGAUACCCUUUCAGUGAAUUAUUAGAUUUAGUGAGUUAUUAAAUUAGCGAAUUAUUAAAUUUAGUGAAUUAUUAACUAAAUCUAAUUAUACCCUCAAAGAGAAUUAUUUAACUACUAUUCUCAAUUCCGGUUUUUCUCCUCACUCAUCAUGAAUCAAUCAUAAUUUCUGAAAAUCACAAUAAAUUAUAAUGAUCUCAAUAAGCAAAUUUAUUUUUCAUAUAUGAAAAUACAUACUUGUUUAUAUAUAAUGCAAAUGGAUAACAUGCCAGUCUUUUAAAAAUAUUAUAAAACAAAUUCUUUAAAAUUUCUUUUGCCAUGAUCAAACUUCACAUUUCCUUUUAAAUCACUUACUUCAAUUACCUUCAUUCAAUUACUAUUCAAUAAGACUCUCACUUAACAUUUAUAACUUUGGUUUUCAUGUAAACUUCCUUCACCCACUUAUCUCUUAAAUAUUAUAUCUACAGUGUCCACUAAGCGAGUAAAGAAUUCAAGAAACUAAGCAAAAUCGAAAAACUUUCUUUCUUUCUUCAAAAUCAAUUUGCUCGAAUCCACUUUCUUAUUUUCCGAAAAACAUAAUGCAUAUUCAUGUUAAUGCCAAUAAAUUUUUACACAUACAUAUAUAUGUGUAUAAAUCAUAUUUGACACAUAACAACACAUUGCAUAAAUACAUGGACAGACCAUAUAAAUCCAUACCCCGUACAUAUCAAAAUAAACUUUUGAAACACGUAAAAUAGAUACAUAUUUUUUAUCGUGAUUAAGUAACAAAAGUGUAUUACACCAUCGGUCUAAAACCAAUAAUAAAACGCUCAUGAGAUAUCAUCAUAUCCUCAUUCAUGAGUUAAUAAAAUAUCCCAAAAUUUUAAAUUACCAAAUUACCCUUGAAAAUUCUAAAUUACCAAAAUGCCCUCGCUGGUCAAUGAUGACCGGAAUUCGAGCGGCGAUGAUCAAAUAAGUCAAAACAGGAACUUCAGCUCGCUCUGAAUCCAAAGGUGGCAGCGGUGUGCUCCGACGCGUAGCCAUGGUGCCCGAUCGAGUUUCGACAGCCGUGAAACUUCAACGGCUGAUCGGCGACAAAUCGGCCACUGUUUGAUGGUCAGAAAUUGAAGUGACUGCCAUAAACGACAAAUCCCAGGUGACGACAUGAUCGAAAUCAGGUAAAAACUCGCCGAUUUGAGUUUUCGUCCUCCAUGACUUAACACGGGCUUGUGGACUGGUCAUAGGCUGUUUUCCAGCAACAAUGAUGAUAGGGGAAUGACCGCGUCGUCUGGGAGUUCGGUUGAUACCCUCCAUCGCCGGAGAUGUGGCCAGAAUCGGAAGCACCGAUUCAGGUUUCGUGAACGGGUUGACCCGACCUGUUUCCUCUCUCCUCUGAGCCGAUCGCCACGUUCUCUCUCCCACUUAAUUUACUUAAUUCACUUAAUCCAGUUAAUGACUAAAUAUUCUUAGGAGAAUUAAUUUUUUUAUUACUGACAAAAAUACUCUUAAUUUAUGAAGAAAUUAAGUGCUGUUAUGAAGGAAUUAAUUUUUUUACUGUGAAAUGCUCCUAAAAAAUUAAUCUUUAGAACUGUAAAUAUAGUGAAAAUUGGUCUUUUGGAUAACUAAGAUAGGGAAAGUUGGUUUUUAGGAUAAUUAGAUUUACCAAAUUGGUCUUUAGAAUAGUGCUUCAAACGUGUCUUAGUGAAUUUUGCAAAAAUUGUGAUUUCUAGAUGCAAACUCAGGGAAAUGAUUGCAAGUUUUUAUUUUGCUAAAUAACAAAGUUACCGAUCUGAAGCCAUUAUUCAUCACUCAUUGUGUGAUUGGUGUUGGUGUUGUUCUAGACCUCUGGCUGGUUUGGAAUUAAAAAAAAAAAAAAAAAAAUCUAUUUUUUUCCUCAUAUCUCCAACAUAAAUAGCCCCCCAAAUUUAUGCCCUUUCUGAAUAUUUACUUUUAUUAAAAAUUUCAUUAUUAUUUGAUUUAUCUUCUGUAUUCUCAGUUGAUACUGCAUUACCGAAAUUACUUGAGAAAAAGAAGAAUCUGAUCAAAGAAACAGACCAAUACGGCUGGACUCCAAUUCAUUACGCUGCAUAUUAUGGAAAUUACAGGACGGUAAAUUUGCUAUUAGAAACUGAUCAAUCCGCUUCGAACAUUGCUGACAAAGAUCGAAAGAUGACAGCUCUUCAUUUGGCAGCGGGCAAAGGGGAUGCCCGAACGGUUGAGCGAAUUAUUUCUGGAAAUCCAAAAUGUUACGAGCUGGUCGAUAACAGGGGAUGUAAUUUUCUCCAUUAUGCUAUGGUUAGUUUUCAUGUUGGACAACUAAGAAAUCUUCUUGAAAAUAAUCCGUUAGCGAGGAGUCUUAUAGAUGAGGGGGAUGCCGAGGGAAACACUCCUCUCCAUGUGCUUGCUGCAGUCCGACCAAAAGAAUUCCAUGAUGUUAUGAAUAGGAGUACUCAAGCCAACUAUGACGCUGUCAACAAACAAAAUGUUAGUGUCAGACACGUUUUUAAUUAUGGCUAUACUGAGCUCAAGGUAAUUAUUUAAUUUGUUCCUUCAACUAAAUUAUUAAAUUUUAUUUUUUUACGCAAUUAAUUAAUAUUCAAAUGUAAAUUAAUUACAGGAAGAAAUCCAAAAAUUAUCCAAAGAUGUUGGCAGAGGACAAUAUUCAAAAGGUGUUAUACGCAUAAGAAAAGUACGAAAGUAUGUUACUAAAGAAGAUUACAAGGAUACGAGAGCAUCACAUUUGGUAGUGGCUGCACUCAUAGCAACGGUAUCCUUCGAAGCAGCUUUCACCAUUCCUGGCGGUUACAGAAGCGAAAAUGGAACUGCAAUCCUAAGGAGAAAUAAAGCUUUUCAAGCAUUUAUAGUAGCAGAUUCCAUUGCCAUGGUCUUUUCUCUUUCUGCCGUCUUUACUCACUUCUUGAUGGCUCCUAAAAUUGAAAAAACUAAAGAUUUCAAUCAGGGUCUGCUCCACGCUUCCAUUUGGUUCACCGUAUUUGCCAUGGGAGCAAUGGUGAUUGCAUUCGUUACGGGAACGUAUGCAAUGUUAGUACCUUCUUUAGGCCUUGCUAUUAUCACUUGUUUAAUUGGCUUGAGCUUUUUCUUGCUUGUGAUUUGGAUUUCUUGCUUGUGAUUUGGAUUAUGGGAUUGUAGUAAGUCACCAUCUUUGUUUAUCAAUAAAAUGAUUGGUUUUCAUUUAACAUAAACGUUAAUUAAUUUACUCAAUCUUUGCUAAUAAUCAAUCAUUAUUUUAAUUGUACAUUAAUCACUGAUGCUUUAAUGAACAUCAAAUUUGAUAUCCAGACCGGUCUAUUUUGUUGUCAAUAAUUAGAUUGAAUUGGUGAGAGGAAAUCAAAAUCAAAUUUAAUAUUUCAAGUUGUUUGUACUUUCUUAUGUUGAUGGAAUAAAAUCUUGAUUGCUUUUUCAAAAAAAAAUUGAAAAAAUUUAUCUAUUUGUAUAGUGCGUCAUGAUAAAUCAUCAAUUAGACAUGAGUAAAGAAAAUUCAUGAUGCGUGUUUAAGGGUGGUAUAUAUUUAUAUUUUGGCUUUUUUAAUAAGUUUUAAAUAGGUUAAUAUAUUGCCAUCAGAAUUUUAUUAAUAUUUACAAUAAAAAAUUUAUCGGAAUUAUUUUUAAUACAUCUAAUAUGGCACAGUCUGAAUAUCUACCCUCACAUAAUAUCAUAGUGAUAUUUGCUCUACUCAUAUUAAUGGAGAAGAAAUUUGUUAACAUGUAUAUGUUCAUAAUAUUGAUUUUGAUGAUAACAAACUUUAAAUGUUUUUGAUUAAAGUGUUGGAGCUAUUCAUGAAUAAACGAAAGCCUUAUAAUCAUUUCAAUUAUAUUUAUAAAAGUUGGAUAACUGUUAAACUUGAAAUUGGAAAAUGAUUCUCUGUAAUAUCUGGCUAAAACUAUGAUUCUGGAAAUAAACGGUGAACCGUUUAUUUUUAACGGUUAACUGAUUAAAUCCAGAGAGUAACGAAUUGCUUAAGCUCUAACCGGUUAACAAAAACGGAAAACACAAAAUGCUGAGAAGCCAACUGGAAUUAAACUGUGAACUGUUUAUUGAAACGGUUAACUGAUUAAAAUCCAGAAUGGAAAACUGUGUUCAUCUUGUUACUGAAAACAAACGGUAAAAGUUUAACUGAAACGGAUAAGGCUAACUUGUUCUAUAGGUUACUGGAAACAAACGGCGAACCGUUUAUUACAAACGGUUAACCGAUAAAUUCUAGAGAGGUUAUUUCGGGCAAAUCUUUAACCUUUUAAUGCAAACGGAUAGCUGAAGUUUAUCUUGCAGGUCUCUGGAAUUUAACGGCGAAAGGAUAAUCCUAAACAGCAAACCGUUUAUUAGAAAAUUGGCCCAACGGUAACUUUGACCAGCCUAAACGGUUAACCGUUAAUGGUUAACAGCGAACUGUUUGCGAGCAGACAGUCUAUAACGGCUAGUUUUUCAGCUCCAACUAUAAAUAAGCUCAUUUAAAUUCAAACAAGGUUGAUCACAACACGACCAUUGAGCUUAUAUUCGAGAAUACAAUCUUCAUAGAGCUUUAAAACACAUUCUUACUUCAUUUAUUCACGCAUUGGGCAUUGAUUUGUAAUCUUAAAUAUUGUGUGAGAGAAAAAUUAUUUUUAAUCUUUUAGUUUGAGUGAUUGUAAGUGUCGGGAUACACUUGGGUUAAGAGAUUGGGGAUAAUCUCUUAUUGUAAAGGUUCAUUGACACCUUGAAAGUCAAGUGUAAGCAUUUGAAGCCUUGGAGGUUUGCUUAGUGAAAUCCUCAAGUCCGGAAAGCUUGAAGGCGUAGACGUAGGUGAGGUUGGCCGAUCCACGUAAAAAUCUUCGUGUUUAAAUCUCUCUUCCUUUAUCUUUUUAUACUGUAAUUGAUUUAAUUGUUAUUCCAUUAAAUUCAUUUUAGAUUUGCAUGAUAAUUUGUUAUAGAAUCAAAUAAUUUUUAGAAUCCCAAUUCACCCCCUCUCUUGGGUUACACACUUAUAUUUUAUUUGGUAUCGGAGCUUGGUUCUCUUGUUAGGACUUAACCAUCUAGAGUAAAAUAUCCAUGGCAACCCAAAAUGACUCAACCUUUAGGGAAAGACAGUCCACAACUAGACUACCGUUCUUUGACUGAAAUGACUACCCAUAUUGAAAAACUAGGAUAAGAAUUUAUUUACAAGCACUAGAUUAUGAAAUUUGGGAAGUUGUAUGUGAUGGUUCGUUUUUGCCCCUAGCUAAAAAUGAAGUAGGGAAAGAUAUUCCAAAACCUUCAAGAGAAUGGAAUGAAUUGGAAAAGAGAAAAGCUUCUCUAAAUUCCAAAGCUAUGAAUGCUUUAUUUUGUGCACUUGAUAAGAAAGAAUUUCAUCGAGUAUCUAGUUGUUAAAGUGCCAAUGAAAUUUGGCACAAACUUGAAGUAGUCUAUGAAGGCACAAAUCAAGUGAAAAAGUCGAAAAUUAGUAGGUACACUCGACAAUAUCAGUUGUUCCAAAUGGAAUAAAAUGAGAGUGUGUACUUUAUGUAUACGAGAUUUACGGACAUAGUAAACACCCUAGGAGCCCUAGGAAAGACCUUUUCAAAUAACGAGAAAGUUAAAAAAAAUCAUUAGGUCACUUCUAAAAGAAUGGAGACCUAAAAGAACUGCUAUUGAAGAGGCCAAAGAUUUAAAUACUUUACCUCUUGAUGAUUUAAUUGGUUCUCUAAUUUCAUAUAAAGAAGAUUUGGCAACAGAAAAAGGGCAUGAGGAGAAGAAGAAAAGCAUUGCUCUCAAAGCUUCAAAAUAUGAGAGUGAUGGGGAGAGUGAACCGGAUGAUAAAGAGUUGGCCAUGCUAGCAAGGAGGUUCAGAAAAUUCUUCAAGAAAACCGGAGAGCAAAGAAAAUUCAGAAACUUCAAGAACCAAAGGGAGAAGAAAGAGGUAAUCACAUGCAAUGAAUGCAAGAAGCCUAGCCAUAUAAGAUCGGAGUGCCCACUUAUCAACAAACUUAAGAAGAAAGCCAUGGUUGCAACUUGGGAUGAUAGCGAGGAAGAUUCAAGUGAUGAAGAAGGGUCACAAGAAAUAUCAAACCUAGUGCUUAUGGCAAUAGGAGAUGGUGAUGAUCUCAAUGAGGUAAGUGAUCCCACCUAUGAUGAAUUGUAUGAUGCUUUUAAAGAAUUGCAUAAUGAGUUGAUGAAAAUUGGUAAAAAGAAUGUAUGUCUUAAAAAGGAAAUGACAAAGCUUAAAAAUGAAAAUGAAUCUCUAAAUGCAAGAAUUAUAUGCCUAGAAGUAGAGAACAAAACAUUGCAUGAUGAAAUUGCAUUUAUCAAAUGAGAAACCUAGCAUCAGCAUUUAGAAUCACACAUAGAUGAUUUGAAAAAUGAAAAUGAAAUGCUUAAGAAAAAUAGCAAUGAGUUGAAUGAGAUUGUUUUGAAAUUUACAAAUGGGCAAAAGAUGUUGGAUAACAUGCUUAAUUCACAAAAAUGUGUGUUUGACAAAGGAGGUAUUGGUUAUAAGCCAAACUUGAAACAAAAAUAUUAUAAAAACUACUUUGUGAAGAGUAUAUCUAGUAACAAACAAAUUGUAUGUCAUUUUUGUAAUUAAGAUGGUCAUAUAAAAAAUAGAUGUCCAGUAAAAAGAAAUGUAUGUUAUAGUAUGAAAUGCAUUUGGGUUCCAAAAGGAAUCACUACUAACUCUCAAGGACCCAAAAAGCUUUGGAUACCUAAAACUUGAGAUUUUCCUUGUAGGGCUUGAAGAAGAAGAAAAAUAAAUGGUACUUGGACAGUGGUUGUUCAAGGCACAUGACCAGAAACUAUGCAUGGUUCUCAAGCUUCACCAAAAUUAAAAAUGAUAGAGACGUAUCUUUUAGAGACAACUCAAAAGGAAAAAGUCUUCGAAUUGGAAAUGUUGGUAAAGUUUCCUCAACUCUAAUUGAGAAUGUAUGUUUGGUUGAGAACUUGAAACACAACUUAAUUAGUAUUAGUCAAUUAUGUGACGAAGGUUAUAAAGUUAUCUUUGAUAAAUUUAGUUGUGUUAUUGAGAAUUUAUGUGAUGACAAGAUCUUAUUUAUUGGGAAUAGAUAUGGUAAUGUUUAUAUCAUUGACAUAGAAUGUGCAUCUACUCUUGAUAAAUGCUUUUCGGCAUUGCAUGAUGAUAGUUGGUUAUGGAAUAGAAGGUUAGGACAUGCAAAUAUGGAUUUGAUUUCAAAAAUUUCGAAAAAUGAUUUAGUUAAAGGUCUUCCAAAAAUUGGUUUUCAAAAAGCGAAGAUUUGUGAAGCUUGUCAAUUUGGAAAACAAAUCAAAACAUCUUUCAAAAAUAAAAAUCAUAUUUCUACUCAAAACCACUUCAACUUCUUCACAUAGAUUUAUUUGGGCCCUCUAGAUAUGCUAGUCUAAAUAGCAAAUCUUAUGCAUUUGUGAUAGUGGAUGAUUAUUCUAGAUAUACAUGGGUAUUAUUCUUAGCUAAUAAGGAUGAUGCUAUUGAUGCCUUUAAAGUGCUUUGUAAGAAAAUUCAAAAUUCAAAAUUCAAAAUGGUAUGGUAUUGCAUGCAUUAGGAGUGAUCAUUGAGGAGAGUUUAAAAAUCAUGCAUUUGAGAUUUUUUGUAAUGAUUUUGGUAUUGAGCAUCAAUUUUCAUCACCUAGAACUCCACAACAAAAUGGAGUUGUUGAGAGAAAGAAUAGAUCUAUUCAAGAAAUGGCUAGGACUAUAUUGAAUGAAAAUUCAUUGCCUAAGUAUUUUUGGGCCAAGGCCGUUAACACUGCUUGUUAUGUUUUAAAUCGUGUGUUGAUUAAACCUAACCUUAACAAAACGCCAUAUGAGCUUUGAAAAAAUAGAAAACCCAAUAGUGGUUAUUUCAAAGCUUUUGGAUGCAAAUGUUUUAUUUUGAACACAAAAGAUAAUCUUGGCAAAUUUGAUCUAAAAUCCGAUGUGGGUAUUUUUCUUGGAUAUUCAAACUCAAGCAAAACUUAUAGAGUUUAUAACAAAAGAACUCUAGUUGUAGAAGAAUCGAUGCAUGUUACAUUUGAUGAAUCUAACCCUUCCUCUACGGAGAAAGUUGUUGUUGAUAAUGAUGUAGAUGAAGACUUACAAAAAGAAUCAUCAAAAGAUAACCAAAAGAAUGCAUCUCAUAGGAAUCAAGAUGAGCAACAUGAAGAAAUGAAUGUAGAGCAAAAUGAAGGUACUUCUUAAUCACUCCCCAAAUAGUGGAGGUAUGUUUCUUCUCGCUCUAAAGAUGUAAUUUUAGGAGAUCCCUCACGAGGUGUUACAACUAGAUCAUCAAUUAAGAAUACUUGUGAGCAUAAUGCAUUUAUUUCUCAAAUUGAACCCAAAUCAUUUGCGGAUGCGGAAAAUGAUCAAUCUUGGAUUAUGGCAAUGCAAGAGGAAUUAAAUCAAUUUGAAAAAAAUAAUGUAUAGGAAUUAGUUCCUAAACCGGAACAUCAAUCCGUCAUAGGUACUAAAUGGGUAUUUAGAAAUAAGAUGGAUGAAUCUGGUGUGGUUGUAAGGAAUAAAGCUAGAUUAGUGACUCAAGGUUACAACCAAGAAGAAAGAAUUGAUUUUGAUGAAACAUUUGCACUCGUAGUUAAACUAGAAUCAAUUAAAAUGUUAUUGGCAUUUGCAUGUCAUAAAGAUUUCAUUUUAUUUCAAAUGGAUGCGAAAAGUACUUUCUUAAAUGGUUAUAUUAUGAAAGAAGUGUAUGUAAAACAAUCCCUUGGUUUUGAAAAUGAAAAAUUUCUAAAUCAUGUUUAUAAGUUAUUUAAAGAUUUGUAUGGCUUAAAACAAGCACCUAGAGCAUGGUAUGAUAGGCUUAAGAAUUUCUUGUUAGAAAAUAAUUUUUUAAUGGGUAAAGUGGAUACUACUCCCUUUGUCAAACAUAAGAACAAAGACAUAUUUGUUGUUCAAAUUUAUAUUGAUGAUAUUAUUUUUGGUUAUACUAAUGAAUUGUUGUGUAAAGAAUUUUCAUCUUGCAUGAGUAAUGAAUUUGAAAUAAGUAUGAUGGGAGAGUUGAAAUACUUCCUUGGGCUGCAAAUAAAACAAAAUGAGGAAUGAAUUUUCAUAAAUCAAGCCAAGUAUGUAAAAGAUCUACUCAAAAGAUUCAGAAUUGAUGACUCAAAGACCAAAAAUACUCUGAUGAGCACAACAACCAAGCUUGAUAAAGAUGAAAAAGGCAAAGAAGUGGAUAUCAAAAUGUAUCGAGGUAUGAUCAGAUCUUUACUUUAUUUAACUGCAAGUAGACCCGAUAUCAUAUUUAGUGUAUGUUUGUGUGCAAGAUUUCAAUCAUGCCCCAAGGAAUCCCAUUUACUUGCUGUAAAACGAAUCCUUCGCUAUUUAAGUGGAAUUAUAGAUCUCGGCCUUUGGUAUCCUAGGGGAACUCAUAUAGAUUUAAUAUGCUAUUCAGAUGCGGACUUUGCCGGUUAUAAAGUUGAUAGGAAAAGCACUAGUGGAACUUGCUAUAUUCUAGGUCACUCACUUGUUUCAUGGUUUAGCAAGAAACAAAAUUAUGUUGCACUUUCAACUACCGAUGCUGAAUAUAUAGCUGCAGGAAGUUGUUGUGCGCAAGCUCUUUGGAUGAAACAAACACUUAGAGACUAUGGUAUUAACCUAGAACAAAUUCCUACUAAGUGUGAUAAUACUAGUACUAUAAAUCUUUCAAAAAAUCCCAUUUAACACUCUCGAACCAAGCAUAUAGAAAUAAGACAUCAUUUCUUAAGAGAUCCUGUUCAAAAGGGAGAUAUUGCAUUAGAUUUUAUUUUUACAGAAAAAUAACUCGUCGAUAUUUUUACCAAACCCCUUGGCGAAGAAUAAUUUUUGAAAAUUCGGCAUGAACUUGGGAAGAUGAAAUUUUUGCAUUAACUUCUCUAUUAAUGUUAUUUAGUGUAUUGAAUUGAUUGACUUAGUGAUAAUUUGAUCAUUUAAUAUUUAUGAAAUGCUUAAGCAUGAUGUUCAAGUGAUAUGUUUGCUUUUGAUAAUUCUUAAAUGUUUAUAUGAAUUAAUUGCUUGAAUACAUGUUCAUGAAUCAAAAUGGCUCAUAAAACAUUUUUGGAUCAAUUAAAUGAUCUUGGAAUGUAUUAUUUGUAAGCCAAAAAUUAAAUCAAAUGUGCGCAAUUAUAGAUGAAAUAAACGGAUAACUGUUUCCAAUAAACGGUGUACUAUUUUUAUUCCAGAAACUAGAUCAUGAUGUCUGACUUUUACCCUUUUACUGUUUGACGAAAUCGAUAAACCGUUUAAAGCAGAGAGCUCUCUGGAAAAUUACUCCUUUACCGUUAAAAGGAUAACCUUUCACCGUUUCCCAUUCAUUAGUCUCUGGAAAGUUACUCUCUAACUGUUUAAAUAAACGGUUAACCAUUUUCUUGCGACAUAAAAACUGUUCCAAGGGUUUCCUCUCUCUUCUCAUUUGCCCUCUUAUUGUUUCAGCCAUUGUUGCGCAGCCGAAGCUUUCUCUAUCGUCAAACCUCCAUUUUUCUUGAUUUCCUUGCCAAAUCACACCUAAAACAUCUUUUCACAUCAUCUUUAUAUCAUUUUUACCGAUUCAAAUCUUCAAAUUGAGCCUGAAAUUAAAAAAUCCCAAAUCAAAACCCUAAGGGCAGCCGGUUAGGUUUCGUCAUUUUUGACCUAAUUCGUGUCCUUUUUCAACCCAAUUAGGCUUUCAAAUUCCAUCCUCCACUCUUCCUUGAUCCCAAAACAAUUAUUUUUCGUCCAAAGUCACUGUUCUCAAAAUCCCUCAUUCUCUAUGUUCUUUACCAUGGCUGAGUCAUCUCGGAGAACUCGAAGGAGGAAAGAUACGCCUCAACAGAAUCCCAUACCACCACAGGCAGUCUCUGAAUUCGCAAGAAUUUAUUUUCCCACACCUUCAUUGGCCAAGCGUUUCGAGGACCGCUUCAAUGGCAGAAAGGUACUUGAUUCGUUUUAUGUUGACAUAGAAGACUUUAGAACCUUAAUUGUGUGUGGUAAAAGUGUUAGAAAUAUACUUCAACCUUGGGAGUCCGCCAUUGAUUUUGAUGAACGAGUAUAUCCAAAUUAAGUGCGAGUUUUCUAUUCGAACAUAGAAAUCUCUGCAACUCGCCUAGAUAGGAUAGUUACUCAAGUUGGCGGUGUUCAUAUUGAAUUUGAUGAUGAAGAUCUUAAUGGCUUUCUAGGUAUAUCUAGUGAUGGUCAUAAAAUUUGUACAUCUAAGAAAGCUCUUUCCUUUGAUGGUUUUUGUCAUAAUGAUGGAGUUCGUAAUAUUUGUCAGCGUGAAGAUCUGAGUUAUGAGACUUGUCACUUACCUUUUAAAUCUCAACUUUUACCUCUGCAAGUUCGCAUACUUUACACAAUUUUACAGCAUAUAGUGACACCUAGGAAGGGUCACUCGAAUAAGGUUACGAGGUUAGACGUUGGCUUAUUAGAUAGCCUCAUUUCAGGACGACUCGUUAACCUCGGCUAUGUUAUUGUGAGGCACAUGUUGAGUACUCCCGCGAUUAACCACCGCUUGCUUCCAUAUGGCAGUAUCAUUACUAAGAUACUGCGACGCUUUGAGGUGCCUCUUCUAGAUGCCGGUUAUACGGAGACUAGACGGAUUGGUCCAGAGGACAUGACUAGUAUCGAUUUUUCUAGAAGAAUGGCAAGUGGAUAAAGACUAAAAACUCCAAAAAUCGGGAUACUUUGAUUGCUCCUGAGGACGAUCGGAUGCUCAACGAUAUCUAUCCUUCUUAUCAACUUCCAGAUUUUCGAUUAGGAGCUCAUCCACCUCCUCUACGUCGCCGUUCUGUCCUCCAACCUCUAGCUGACUCUGACUCUGAGGAGCGUGAGAUGGAUGCUGAUAUUCCAUCCACUUCGAUGCCACCUCAAGCUCCAGCUCCAGCACAGCCUUCUGCUCCCGAGCCCUCUGUUGUUCCUAAGAGGCCCUCCGUUUUUGAGCCAUUUCCAGCUCCCGAGUAGCCUCCUGCUUCAGUUCAGCCCCCUGCUUCGGCCUCCUUGCAACAGUUGGCGGAUGAUGUUCGCCGGAUUUCGGAGAGGCAGCAGCUGAUUAUCGAUAGAUGGGACACCUUCUCCCACGACCAUCAGCAGCUUCGUUCGGAGUUUCAGACCUUCCAGCAGCAGAGCAUUGAUCAGCAGCUUGAACUUAUAGCUGGACAGCGCACUCUUCUUCGUUAUUUCGGUUAUGAUCCAGGGAGCACAUCUUCACCACCUUCAUAGUUUCUGAGUCUCAUCUUUGCACAUACAUUUCAUGUUUUGUUUGUUUGUUUGUUGCUAUUUAUAUUUGGGUAUACAUUGCUACUUCUCUAUGAUUUUGAUGAUGGAUUGUUUUUGUGAUGUUCUUGAUGUUGGAUGAUUUGAUGUUGGCUGAUUUGAUAUUAGAUGAUGGAUUUGUUGGUCUAUUGGAUGAUGAAGUUAUUGUUAAUAUAUUUGGAAGUGUUUUUAAUCUCAUUUUGUAUUAGUGGAUUUGUUCCAUUUUAAGGGGAAACUCUGCCAAUUUUUUUUUGCUCGCCAAAGUUGGGUAACUUCUUUCUCACCUCUAUACUUUACAGAUUUCUUUUCCCUCUUUUCUUUUUGAUGAUGAAGGUGGAGAGAUCAUGUUAUGCUCCUGCAUUUUGUGUAUAUUGAUAAAGGGGGAGAUAAUGAAAUAAAAAUAAAAUUCACUUUUAAAAUGCAUUUUACUUUUAAAACGCUUUUUGAAAUGAAUUCUUUUUCAAAACGUUUCCUUGAGCAAAAAUCUGUUUAUUGGAUAUUUUUUUACAAUUGGCCAUACAUUUAGGGGGAGCAUAUAUUAAGGGAGAGCAAAAUAUUGAAUGAAAUUUGUCAUCAUUAAAAAGAGGGAGAAUGUUAACAUGUAUAUGUUAAUAAUAUUGAUUUUGACGAUAACAAACUUUAAAUAUUUUUUAUUAAAAUGUUGGACCUAUUCAUUAAUAAACGAAAGCCUUAUAAUCAUUUCAAUUAUAUUUAUAAAAGUUGGGUAAUUGUUAAAGUUGAAAUUAAAAAAUGAUUCUCUGCAAUAUCUGGCUAAAACUAUGAUUCUGUAAAUAAACGGUGAAUCGUUUAUUUUUAACGGCUAACCGAUUAAAUCAAGAGAGUAACGAAUUGCUUAAGCUCUAACUGGUUAACAGAAACGAAAAACACAAAAUGCUGAGAAGGCAACCGUUUACGAGCAGACAGUCUAUAACGGCUAGUUUUUCAGCUCCAACUAUAAAUAAGCUCAUUCAAAUUCAAACAAGAUUGAUCAUAACACGACCAUUGAGCUUAUAUUCGAGAAUACAAUCUUCAUAGAGCUUUAAAACACAUUCUUGCUUCAUUUAUUCACACAUUGGGCAUUGAUUUGUAAUAUUAAAUAUUGUGUGAGAGAAAAAUAAUUUUUAAUCUUUUACUUUGAGUGAUUGUAAGUGUUGGAAUACACUUAAGUUAAGAAAUUGGAGAUAAUCUCUUGUUGUAAAGGUUCAUUGACACCUUGGAAGUCAAGUGUAAGCAUUUGAAGCCUUUGAGGUUUGCUUAGUGAAAUCCUCAAGCCCGGAAAACUUGGAGGCGUAGACGUAGGUGAUGUUGGCUGAACCACAUAAAAAUCUUCGUGUUUGAAUCUCUCUUCCCUUAUCUUUUUAUAUUAUAAUUGAUUUAAUUUUUAUUCCAUUAAAUUCAUUUUAGAUUUGCAUGAUAAUUUGUUUUAGAAUCAAAUAAUUUUUAAAAUCCCAAUUCACUCCCCCCCUCCUCUUGGGUUGCACACUUGUAUUUCAAAAUUUACUCUUAUCCAGUUUAAUUGGAAGGCAAAUUGAGUCCAAUAAUAAUUGAGACUCAAAGGUUAUACUAAUAGGAUAAGAACAUAAGGACUUAUAUAAGUAAAUAAAAUUUUACCAUUCAAUAGAGCUAAUGACACAUCACCAAAUGAGUUGAGUUAAGACGGAAAAAGACCAAAAGGGGGGACGUUAAUUUGAAGGAAUUAUUGCAAACAUUAAAAACUAAUAAAUGAAAGGCCAAAACUAAGUUACGUGUAACGUAACAUACAAUCAAGAAAUUAAAAUAUCUAUAGACACCCUUAGACUUUAUGGAAACUACAUUAAUAGAAUUAAAAGAAAUACUUUUAAAUCUCAAAGAAGAAAUAAAAGAUAUAAAACAAGAAAUAGGAAAAAUAAAAAUAGAAAUGUCUAUAAUUCAGAUGAGUCAAAAGAAAAAUAAAAAAUUAGAAAAAUUUGAAAUACUAAAAUCAGGAAUAAUUGGAACAAGUUUUAAGAAACCCAUACAAAAACCACAAACAGGCAACUAUGAUACUUGGUUUAUGGAAACUCAAUAUCCAAAAAUAUUAAAAGAAACAGAAGAAUUAAAGGCAGAAUUAAAGAAAAAAGAAAAAGGAAAAGAAAAAUUAGAGAUAAAAGAAACAACUCCAAGUGAUUCAGACUAAUGGAAGAUACAUUAGAAGAAUUAACUGAAAAUUUUAGUGAGAUAAACCUUAGUGACUUAGAAGAUUUUGAAAAAGAAUAUCACAUAAAAAUGAAUACUGCUGGAGGACCAGAAAUGAAGCCUAAUAUAAGAGAACCAAGUCAUAGGUAUACAACGAACAAAAAGAAAAAUAGACCCUUUUUUAAAUAUGUACCACCCGUUAAAAAUACCCCUUGGAAAAAAGAAUAUAAGCCUAAUAAUGAUAAAUUAACGCCAAUAAGCAAUGCAGGAACAUUUUUAGAUUUAGAUUGCAAAAUAGAACCUCGAAAAGCUAUAAUUGAAUAGGGAAUGCAAAUGAAGUUAUUUUUUAUAUACAAUGGUUCUAAGGAUGAUUCGAAUGUAGAAUCUGAAGCAGAAAAGAUAAAUUUAUUCGCUGACAUCCUAAUAGCCAGUUUUUCAGGAAAUGUAUUCAACUGGUGGAAAGGACUAAGCGGAGAUACACAAAAAUUGAUAAAAGAUUCAACUAAAACAGCUUUAGCUAGAGAUAAAGGGUUAGGAAUUGAAAGAUUAAUUGAAUAUAUCGCUAGUGAAUUUUUAGGUGAAGAUUGGAUACAAAAUACUGAAAUAGAAACAAGAAAUGAAAAAUUAAAUGCAAGAAUGAAAUUAAUGAAUUUAACUAUUUGUAACAUGUGUUUUGUAAAAGAAUAUACUUGUGAAUUUAAUAAAUAUUAUUAUGAACAAUUCUACAGUCAAGAAGACCAAAGUAUCUAUAAAAAUUUAUAUUAUUCCAAGUUACCAUAUCCCUUGAAUGGAUAUUUAUUAAUAAAUAUAAGAAAUAUAGUGUUACUAAUAAACUUCCAGAUACUUUAGGAUCUAGAAUAAGAUUUUUAAAUAUAAGAUUAAGUGAAAUAUGCAUUCAAAGAAAUCUAAUGAAAAAGAGUAAAAAUAUAGGAGAAAUAUGUUGUGAAAAGACAGAAAUGCCAACCCAAUGGGGUUGUUAUACACCUUAUAAACGAAAGAGAAAGUUAUAUAAAAAAGAGAAAAAAUAUAAAAAAUACAAUAACUUUAAAAGAAAAUACAAGAAACCAGAAAGAAAGUAUUAUAAAAGAAAGUAUUAUAAAAGAAAGUAUAAAAAUCAAAGAAACAAAUUAGAUAAAUCCAAGUGUAAAUGUUGGAAUUGUGGAGAAAUAUGACAGAUUAGCACAGAUUGUACAAAAAAGAAGGUUAGACUCUUAAGAGAAGAUUUUGAAAACAUAAGAAAUGACUUAGAAGAAAUAAGUGAUAUAUUAGAUUAUGAAGGAAAAGAAGUUUAUGUGGAAAAAGGAUCAGAAUAUGAGUCAGAAUAAAAAGGAAAUAAUAGAGAAAGAAGAGAUAGAAGAAAUUGAAGAAAUAGAAAAAGAAGAAAAUAAAAGUGGAUAUAGUCUUGUUGCCACUUUUAAUAAAGAAAAAUAUAAUAAACUUUUGAAAAUAAAUAUGGAAAAACCGAAAUAUGGGAUAUUACAUAGACUUAGAGAUAUAUUCAAAAGAAAACGGAUAAUAUUACAUGAAUAUUAUGAACAAGAAAAGGCUGUAACAAUUACACAAGCUGAAAGAAAUAUUAGAUUUAGUUUAAUAAAUAAAAGAUCUAUAGAUUUAGCAUUAAGAAAAAUAAAAAAUGAAUCAACAAAAGAAAAAAUUCAAUAUGUAUAUCUAGCAUAAAUUCAAAUAUUAGUAAAAUCCUUUUUCAAAGAAGGAAUAGAUAGUCCUAUAGUCUUAUCACUACAUGAUAAAAGGUUUCAUGAUCCCAGUAUAGGACAUUUAGGAACAAUAGAAGGAAAUUUAUGUUACACUAAACUAUUAUUUACAUGUCAUCCUAGAUAUUGUGUACACAUAAAAGAUAAAAAUAUAGAUGAGACGCUAAGCUUACACUUUAAACUACUAAAAAAGAACUUAAUGAAAGAAGGAAAUAGAUUAAUGACAAUACAUUAUUCUGCAUUAUAUAGUUUUUGUAAUUCGAACUAUGGAGAAAUAUAUGGAAAUAAACCUUAUAUAGAAAUAAAUAAAGAAAGUGAAGAGAUAGCAACCCUUAUAGAACCCACAAUCCAAGACUACAAAAUUCCUAUAAAUUAUGAACUGAACAUAGAUGAUAGAAAGUAAUUUUUAAAUGAUAAUAAUGAAAACUCCAUCAUUCCUAUAAGUUUUGCAGGAAGGACUUUAGUAAGAGGAAGUUCAUCUAGAAGAUUAAGCACUGAUAAAUAAAUAACUAGUAUGGAUAAACAAAUAACUAGAUCAAUAACAACUAAUAAUGUAGUAAAAAUACUUGGACAAUACUUUAAUGGAAUAUAAUAUACGACAAAAAUACAUAUACUAGUAGACACUGGAACGAGCCAUAAUUAUAUGAACCACACUAAAAAUAAAAGGACUCUUAAUAAAAGAAAAAGAAAUUCCAUAUGAAUACACUGAUUUUAAGGUAAUAAACAUAUUUGUAAACAAGAAGUUAAAGUCCCUAUAAUUACAGAAGGAUUUAGAAUAAUAGUAUCUUGUUAUAUAGACUUAUUCAUGACCACAGACCCAGAAAAACAUAUAGUGCUAGGAAAUAGUUUUUUAAAUGAUUUAGAAUACUAUAAAAUUGAAAAACAUAAAAUAACCUUACAAAUAGAAGGUCAAAGAACAGUGUGUGAAACAUGUUAAAACAAGCUUAUAUAAAAUACCCUAUGUCCGUUUAUACACAAAUAAACAUAACAGAAAAAGAUAUAGAUACAUGUGCCUUAAUAGACACUAGUAGUGAAAUAAUAAUUAUGAAACCCUUUUUAUCAAACCAAUGGAAACCUAAUAGAAAGUUAAAAAUCAUUAGAAUAACAAGAGAUAAACAACAAGUAAAUCAAUCUUUGAUAAAUUUUGAAAUACAUUUAGGAAGUAAAAUAGUACGUAUUAAUUAAAUAUUUCAAUAUGACCAUAUGGAUUGUGAUAUCCUCCUAGGAAAUGCCUUCCUACAACAAUUCCAGUACUAUCAACAAACUCCUUAUAUGAUCACCUUAAAAACCCCUUGUAAUCAUGUCCUUCACAUCCCUCGUGAAUUUAAACCCUACCGAGUUCAGCCAGCCCAGCAUGGUGAUAAUAUUAUUUAUGAAAAAAUUAUUUAAUCUUGAAAGGACAUAGUUAUAAUAUACAACUAGAAACAAUAAAAUCACAGCUUGAACAAGUCUAUAAAGAUAACUGAUUAGCAUUAUGGAAACCAGACCAUCCUAGAACAAAAAUAGAAUUAAUUGAAAUAGAAUAAUAAGGCUUAAAUCUAUGAUGUAUACAGAAGAAGAUAGAGAAGAGUUUAAGAUCCAAAUAAAAGAGUUAUUAAAUUUAAAACUAAUAAGAACUAGUAAUAGCCUUCAUAAUAGCCCAGCCUUUAUGGUUAGGAAAAGAUCAAAACAAGUAAGAGGAAAACCAAGAAUGGUUAUAAAUUAUAAGGAAUUAAAUAAAUAUACGAAGUUUGAUGAAUAUUUUCUUCCAAAUAAAGAAGUAUUAAUAAAUCUUGUAAAAAAUAAAACAUACUACUCAAAAUUUGAUUGUAAAUCAGGAUUUUAGCAAAUAAAAAUGGAAGAACACAGUAUUCCUUAUACAGCCUUUAGCACCCCACAAGGACAUUAUGAAUGGAUAGUAAUGCCCUUUAGACUAAAAAAUGCCCCUCAAAUCUUUCAAAGUCGAAUGGAUAAAAUAUUUAGAGAUUAUAAAUAUAUCAUAGUCUAUGUUAAUGACAUAUUAAUAGCAUCAGAAACAUUAGAAGACCAUAGAAACCAUUUAAGAGAAUUUGUUAAUAUAUGUAUCAGAGAAGGUAUAGUUUUGUCAGAAAGAAAAGCAGUCGUAGAACACAAGAAGAUAGAAUUUUUAGAAAUGGUUCUUGACAAAAAAGGAAUUAGACUCUAGAGCCAUAUAGAAAAAAAGAUUACAGAAUUCCCAGAUAAAUUGGAAAAUAAACAACAAAUACAAAAAUUUUUAGGUUGUUUAAAUUAUGCAGAAGGAUUUAUAAAAGACUUAGCAAAAAAGAGAAAUAUACUUCAAAAAUUACUCAGAAAAAAUAAUACUAAAGGAUGGAGUGAAGAACAUAUGGAAACUGUAAAGAAUGUAAUGCUGCGUUUACUUUUUGGAUUGGAGUGAGAAUCCUGAGGAGUGGGAAUCCUUGGAUUAGGAGUGUGGAGUGGGAGUGAGAGUAUGGUGUUUACUUAGAUUAAAUGAAAGUAUGGAUUGUCAAUUAGAAUCCCAAUUAUUUGUUUACUUUGUCUUAGAUUAGGAGUAAAUUGUUUUAAAUUACAAUUUUAUCCUUAUGUACAGAAUUAUAAUUUGUAAUUAAAAAAUUAAUAAAAAAUAUAUUUGGAAAAUAAAAUAAAUAUUUUAUUAUAUUUAUAAAUUAAUAAUAAUUACUAAUAUUCUUAAUUAUGUAAAUCAUAAUUUUUUAUUAAUUUUAAUUUAAAUUAUGUGAAUAAAAAUUAUUAAUAAUAGCAACACAAAUGAAAUAUUAUUAUUGAUAAUAUAGUACAAAAUUAAUAUUUUUUAGAAUAAAAUAUUUAUUAUUAUUAAUUAAAUAAAUAAUUAAUAUUUAUUAAAAUUAAUGUUUAAUAUUAUUAAUUUAAAUAUAAUAUUUAUUUAUUUUAUUAAAUUUAAUAAAAUAAAUAUGAUAUAAUUAUUAUUUUUAAUAAAUAUGAUAUUAUUUAUUUUAUGAAAUAUUAUUUAUUUUAUUAAAUAUUAUUUAUUUAUUUUAUUAAAUAUUAUUUAUUUAUUUUAUUAAAUAUUAUUUAUUUAUUUUAAUUUUAAUUUUAUAAGGAUAAAAUGGGAAGAGGGGGGAGUGGAUUCCCACUCCCACCUCCCCCAAUGGGAGUGGGAAUCCCACUCCCCACUCCAAAUUUGGGUGGGACCCACGGAUUCCCACUCCCACUCCCCCCUUUUUUAAGGUAAGUAAACACUGGAGUGUGAGGAAUCCACACUCCACACUCCCACUCCAGAAAGUAAACACUGCCUAAAAGAAGAAUGUAAAAACCUCCCAUCAUUAAGGUUACCAGAAGAAAAUGAUAAGUUAGUAGUACAAACUGAUGCAUCUGAUUUACAUUGGGGAGCAGUACUUAAAACUGAUAUAAAUGAAAUUUGCCGAUAUACUAGUGGAACAUUUAACCCAGUACAAGUCAAUUACCAAGGUCAUGAAAAAGAACUCCUUGCAAUAUACAAAGGAAUAAAAAAGUUCUCAUUAUUUUUACUCUAGAAAUAAUUUAUUAUAGAAACAGACAAUUCUUAGGUAAAUUGGCUUAUUAGUAAAAUUUUGCCAAAUGAACCUCACUACAAGAGAUUACAUAGAUGGCAAGCGUAUUUGUCAUAUUAUAAUUUUAAAAGGAACUAAUAAUUUUCUUGCAGAUUUUCGAAGCAGGAACAUAGAAUUCGGAGACUGAAUACAGAAGUAAAUAAAACCAUAUCUGUGAUAAACACAGAAAUACAAAGGCUCAAAGCAGAAGCAUCAGACAUGCUAGAUACUAUAAAUUACAUGAAAGAAGCCACAGAGGCUCAUGAGAAGGGAAUACAUUUGUUAGAGUCAUACAUAAACGACUUAACAAAAGGGCUUUCAAUAAAUACUAACCCAAUAAAAAUAGGAAGCAGUAGUGGACCUCUCCCACAACAAGAACCAGUCUGUGACCCAUCCUUCAACCGAACCUUGUCCAUUGAAGUCGAAUCUCCUAAAAAGACUUCUACAAAAAAGUUCAUCAGAAUAAACAGCACUUCCUCAGAAGAAGAAAAAAAACUUAUUACCCUAAAUCCAAAAGAAGAAGAAUAUAAAUAGUUUUCCACAUGGGUGUACUCUACAUGUUCCCACAAUAAUACCAUUUUCAAGGCACCUGAAAAAAAUA